UGAUGUUGUUAUCUGGGCGGCUGCGUCAACACUUCAAGAUGACAUUGGAAAAAGGAUUGGCUUUUCAGAAGACAGAAACUGGAAGGAAAAAAGUUUAUAAUUAACGAAAGGGCCUUUUUCUUUUUUUAAAUCCCGCUAAAGGUUAUAAUUAACAACAAAUUAAUAAUAGAAGAGAGAGAAAUACCAAGUUCAAUAUGGUAAUAUUUUAUCUUCCCUUAACUGCUCCCCUUUGGCUUAUAAUGCGACCUUUAUACUCGUUGACAAAAUUGUAUUUGUCGCUUAAGUCUUGUUUGUUUUAAAAUGCUGGCAUAUUUAUGGAGUGGGAACUAGGGAUGGCAAUGGAGUGGAUUUGAUCCAAGAUCCAUGUGAUCCAAAUCCAAUCGGAUCGGAUUUGGAUCGGUUUAAAAUGGAUUUGGAUAUCGAUGUGCGGAUCUAAGACAGAUAUGGAGCAGAUAUGGAUCUAUCUUAAUAUCUAAAUCCAUAUCCAUAUCCACUCAUCUUUUAAUUUUAUUUUAUUUUAAAAGUUUAUUAAUAAUUGUGGAAUGAUAAUGAUAAUAAAUUUUAUUCAUAGCAUAUUAGUAAUAUUUACCAUGAAUUUAAACUCUUAAAACUUAAAGGUUAGUUUUGUAAAUUUAAAGGUCAGCCAGCCUCAAAACAUGUACAUGCAAUAUUCAAAUUGCAAUCCAAGUAAUAUAACCUGGUAAUAUAUUUUAUCAUAUUGGCCAAAUAAUUUUUAAGGAAUAUAGUUAUUCAUAUAUUUAGUCAAAUGUGGUCAUAAUAAAAAUAAUAAAUGACUGAAUAUAAAACAUAUUUAAUUUAUAUAUCAUUAUCUAAUGUUGUAGGAAUGAGGGUAGGUGUAUCGUGAAUACUAGAAUGAUGAAGGAGACAAUAGAAUAUUAGAUUGAUCUUACUCCUGCAAUUACUUCUGAAUGAUAUUUUAUUAUCUUUCUUAUUUGUUGUUUUGGUAUAGAAGUAUAAGCUACAAUAUUUAUUAUAUUUUUGAGAAAAAUUAUAUAAUUUAUUUGUUAUCAAUACAUUUUAGCCUUCAAUUUUCAAUCUAAAAAAUUAUUACUUUUUUAUUACGGAAUUUUAGAAUUCAUGACGGAUCUAGAGCAGAUUUGGAUUUUAAUUUUUUUUCGGAUUUGGAGCAGAUAUAGAUAUUUAUUUCUUUUUUGGAUCUGGAUAUGGAGCGAAAAAUAUGGAUUCAUAACAGAUCUGGAGCAGAUACUGAUCUUGAUUUUUAUUAUGGAUUUGGAUCUGGAGCAGAGUAGAUCCAACCCAUAUCUGCCCCAUUGCCAUCCCUAGUGGGAACCCAGAUGCUGAACUCAUAGUAAAUAUUUAUUUAAUUUGUUAUAAUUACAUUUGGUGGGAUAAUUUUAAAUAUUAAUUUAACAAGAUAGUGAUGUUUGCCUUGCCCUACAUGAAGAAAAAUAAGUAAUUAAAGAUUUUUCUUUUCCUUUAUAUUAGUAAUAGAUUUCAAAUGGAAAACAGACAAAUUUCAUUUUUGUUUCAAUAAUUACCCUAUCACUGUGUGCGUGCGUGAUCACAUAAUUUUGUACUACCGUCUGUGGAAUAACUUUAGGAAAAGAAAAUUAAUUUUUUUUAAGUAAUGAUAAAUAUUUUAAAAUUUUAUCUUAAAUUGUUUUCUUCUCUUAUCAAUUUUUUUUUUCUCCUAUCUUCCAAUGAAAGUGCAGGACCUCAAUUAUUUUAAUAGAGAUGUAGUAAUAAAUUAUUAAUGAAACAUGUCAAAUCCAAUGUAUAGAUAAUAAUAAAAUGAGGCUAAUGCUAAGUUACAUACAUGUAACUUAGGGGAUCCAUAAAAUAAAUAUACAUGGUUUCAAAAAAGUUAGCACAUGCUUGUUACAAAUAUAAAACAUUAUCUUAAAAGUCUCUGAACUUUUGUGUUCUCUUUAACAUUUUUCUCUUAUGUUGUUUUUGUACUAUAUGGAUACAAGAGUGCGUUUGGCACGCUGUAUUAUAUUAUGUUGUAUUGCAUUAUUUUAAUGCAGGUGUAUUGCAUUAUGUUGUGUUGCAUUAGUAAUGUAUUAUAAUAAUGUUGUACAAUGUUUGGUACUAUAUUGUACUGUAUUAAUUUUUAAUUAUAUUAUAUUUGAUAUUGCACUAUAUUGUAUUAAUUUUUUGUGACUAAUUUAAAUUAUAUAUUUAGAAAAUACUAAUGAAUUGUGCUAAACAAUCUAAUAAUUAUAUAUUUUAUUAAUUUUUAAUUAAUAUUAUUCAAAUUUAUUCAUAUUUAAAUAUUAUUAUUAGUUAUAUUAAAUUAUUUAAAAAUAACUAGUUUAAUUAUUUUAAUAAAUUAAAUAAUAUUAUAUUAUAUUAUAUUAUUUAAGUAUUUAUUAUUAGUUAUAUUAACUUAUUAAAAAUUAAUUAAUUAAAUAUAUUAAUUGAUAUAAUUUUACAUAUUAAUUAAUAUAAUAUAAUUAAAUAAUACAUUUUUUAGUUGUACAUUUACUAUGAUAAAAAUUAAAAUAUAAUAUAAUAUUAUUAAACAAUAAAUUUAUUAAUUUAUAUUAAAAUUAUAAUGUAAAAAUAAUAUUAUAUAAUAUAAUAUUAAAUUAAAAAUUAUAUUCAUUUAUCAUUAUUACAAAGUAUAUAAAAAAAAAAAAAAAAGAGGAAGCUAAAACUAAAGUGGUAACUGGACGCAUUAGCUAAACCCGACUAUAUGUCGGGUUUAGCUAAUAUAGCCAUUUGGUACCCCAAACAUGGGGCUGCAUUGCUAAUGUAAUGCAAUCCCAGGUAAAGAGGGGUACCAAACAACCCCCAAGUUCACUUAAUGUAACAUAACAUACUUUUAUAUAUAUAUGUAUAUAUAUAUAUAUAUAUAUACACACUACGUGGAGGUGAGCUCCUUAAGGUGAGAUUUAUCAAAAUUAUAAAUUAUUACAACAUGAAAUUUAUUCUUAUUUAUAAUUGACCUAAUAUAAAUUAAGAUCGUUACUUUUAUAGCUACAUGAAAUUAUUCUUAUAUAAAAUAUCACUACAUAAAUGUUUUAUUGCAAUAUUGAUCUCUCUUUUUUCUUUAUUGUAUUUAUCUCUUCAUAAUCUUUUCCUUUUUAUUAAAAAAAAAUCAAAUAAAAGAUUCAUCAACAUCUCAGUCCAACAGUCUACCAGCGAAAACGAGUGUCCAUGCUUUUGAACCAAGGCCCAAUAUGUGAGGGAGAGAUUGUUGGGUUGUCUUAUAUCGGUUGUGAACUAGGAUGGGAUUGAAUGAGACCCAAAACUGCCUAACAUGAAUUCUAUCACUGGGAUUUUUACCCAGUAUAACAAACAUAACACAACGAAUUAUCAAUUUAUCACCUAAUGGCUCUAACUUUAGCGAUGAUCACCUUACAUGAACAUGAAAAUUAAUCCCAUUGUUUAACUCAACACUGACGAUAAUCACUUAAACUCUUAUGCACCGAAGGAUAUACUCGCUACAGGGAAUCUUAACUCAUAAAGAUGCUCCCACAUCUUCCAUUAAGUUUCCAUCGAACAACUAUUCAUAUCAUUCGAUGAAAAAUUAAUUUUAGUGAGGGCCAAAAGAGCACGAGUGAUCCAAACCACUAAACAACAUCAUAACCAACACAAAAUUCAUACUAAACAAACCAUUACCAAAACAGCAAAGCUAGACAUAAAUUUGAACAGAUACACAAGCUACAUUCAUUACCAUAAUGUAUCGACUAAAUUUCCAAGCUCUCCUGUGCUGCUUGUCUAACUGAUUCAAAUCCACAUAGAUAAAUUUAAGCACAUUAAGUUUUCAAACUCAAAUCAAACAGCUUUAAAAGUUACUUCACAAACAAUGAAUUUCAUUUUCGAAAUACAAAGAAUCCGUUCAGUUUAAAACAAUAAAAAAUCGUCUACGACUACUCAACUCAUGUAUUAUAACUAAAAAAACGAAGGAUACCCACAAAAAUUAAAGAUAAAUUACCAAAAACCCAAAAAACUCAAGCCAAAAUUGCCAAAAAAAAAAAAGCGAGAGAAUGGAAAUUGGGGUACCAGGGGCGGGCGAGAGGAAACGAGAAGAGGAAGAAAGAGGGGUUUUAGAGAGAGUGGGAAUUAGUGGAGGCAAAAAUGGAGAGUUUUGCCUCCACUAAUGAUUGGUGGGGUGGUGAUGGCGGUGGUGGGGUUAAUGUUCUGGAGGGUAUGCUGAAGAGAGGUCGCAAGAGAACCUCCAUAGCCUUUAAAGAGAGUUGAGUUGCUGCUUUCUUUUGCCGUGGAUGGAGAGAGAUUAAGGGAUUAGAAUUCUGUAUGGAAUUUACUUUUUAUUAAAUAAAAAAUUAAUGUUAAAAUCAUUUUAUUUUAUUUUUUUAUCUAGUUAUCAUUGACUUAAUAUUUUGGAUCUUCAUCCAAAGUAAAGGCACAAAAUUUUUAUUCUAAAUAAAUAUUCUCAAUAUAAAUUUAUCACUUAAAUAAUAAAUGAUAAGAUUUUAUAUUAAUUCUGUCAUUACUGAAAUGAAUUACAAAUUUUAUAUGACGUGUAAACGUAUCAUUAUAUUCUUGAUAUUUGACAUCUUGACUAAAGCAACAAAUGUAUCAUAUUUUUAUUUUGGUAUUGUGGUUCUCUAAAAAUACCCUCACCAAAUUAGCUUAAUUCUUUUCAUUGUACCCAUUGCUUCUCUUCCUCUUUUCGUCAACGACAAUGGGUAACUUAAUCUCAACCUUCUUACCAGCAGACUUAUUUGAUCGAACUUCAAACUGCGUUGGUGAACAAGCAAAAUAUGUAUGGGGUCUCGAAAAAAAUCUUCGGGUCUUGGAGACUGAAUUGCACAAAUUGACUCGAGCAAGGGCCGAUCUGAAGACCAAGGUUGAGGUCGAAGAACAACGACCUCGAACCAGACGAACGAACCAGGUCGCAGGGUGGCUUGAAGAUGUGCAAAAUCUGGAAACUGAAUUUACCGAGCUGGAACGAGUUAGAGCUCAUGAAAUGGAUAGAUUGUGCCUUGGAGGCCUCUGUUCCAAAAACUUCGUUUCAAGCUACAAUUAUGGGACUCAGGUGGUCGAGUUGACGGAUCGAGUGAUCAAUUUAAAGAAAGAUGGAGAAAAAAUUGAAGUCGUUGUUGAGAAGGCGCCGGAUGGUGCAGCAAUUGAAUUACCUCUUGAUCACACAGUUGUUGGUCAAGAAUUAUUACUUGAUCAAGUUUGGAGAUGUAUCACUGAUCAGGAAAAUAACAGGGGAAUUAUCGGCUUGUAUGGUAUGGGGGGAGUCGGCAAAACUACCCUUUUAAAACAAGUCAACAACAACUUCCGCCAUCAACAGCAUAUUUUUGAUGUUGUUAUCUGGACGGCUGCGUCAACACUUCAAGAUGACAUUGGAAAAAGGAUUGGCUUUUCAGAAGACAGAAACUGGAAGGAAAAAAGUCUUCAAGACAAGGCUGUGGACAUCGCUAGCAUUUUAAGCGGAAAGAAGUUUGUGUUGUUAUUAGAUGAUGUAUGAGAGCGCAUUGAUUUAACAGAAUUGGGUGUCCCUCUUCAAAAACUAAAUGAUGGGUCCAAAGUAGUCUUGACAACUCGUUCAGCUGGUGUUUGCGAUCAAAUGGACGCUGAAAAGUUGGAAGUGUAUAGUUUGGCGCAUGAUAAAGCCUGGGAAUUAUUUCAGGAGAUGGUCGAAAGAUCCACUCUUGACAGUCAUACCAGUAUUCCAGAGCUAGCCGAAACCUUGGCAAGAGAGUGUGGUGGGUUGCCGCUAGCGCUUAAAAUAGUGGGUCGAGCGAUGAAAAGCCAAAGGAAAGUUGGAGAUUGGAAACGUGCAAUUAACAAAAUGAGAACAUCAGCUUCUAAAUUCUCAGGUAUGAAGGAAGAGGUGUUUUCGCGUUUAAAGUUCAGCUAUGAUAGUUUGUCUACGGAUGAACUUCGUUCCUGUCUCCUGUAUUGUUAUUUAUAUCCUGAAGACUACGAAAUUCCUAAAAGGGAAUUGAUUGAUUAUUGGAUUAGUGAAGGAUUUGUGUAUGAUUUUGAUGAUGGAUGCGAUUUUAUUGAUGACCUUCUUCAAGCAUGCUUAUUGGAGGAAGAAGGCGAUGAUCAUGUAAAGAUGCAUGAUAUGAUUCGUGAGAUGUCAUUAUGGAUAGCGUGCACGGUAGACAAGGAGGAGCAGAACUUUCUGGUUCGCGCUGGAGUUAAAUUGACCGAAGCACCAAAGGUUGAAGAAUGGGAAGGUGCCAAACGGAUAUCUCUGACGGCAAAUGGAAUUGGAAGCCUAUCGGAAAUUCCCACGUGUCCACGUCUCGUCACUUUACUUCUGGAUGGAAAUCGGAUUGAGGAGAUUACUGAUGGCUUCUUUCAAUCUCUGUCGACUCUUAGAGUAUUAAGUCUAAGAGGAAAUUUUCCCCCAAGUACACUACCUUCAGGGAUUUCAGGUUUGGUUUCAUUACAUCAUCUUGAUCUUUCUUCGACUGACAUAACUGGGUUGCCGCAAGAGCUGAAGGCAUUGGAGAAGCUGAGAUAUUUGAACUUGGACUAUGCAUUUCAUUUGUCUAUAAUUCCACAUCAAUUGAUAUCUUGUUUUUCAAAGUUGGAGGUACUCAGGUUGUGUGGGUGCGGUCGCUUUGGUGUAAUAAAAGGGAAAGAAGGUAACGUUCUAUGUGAUGGUGCUGAACCUUUGAUGAAGGAAUUGCUGGGUUUGAAGCAUUUAAAUGUUUUAAGCUGGUCCUUCGGAAGUUCACUUGCUGUCCAAAAGUUUUUGAAAUAUCCAAAGCUGGUGAGCAUCACUCAAUCUGUAUGGGUUGAAUGUGGCACGUAUACAAGGCCACCGUUCAAUGUCUUACAUCUGGCAUACAUGGAGAAUCUUCAGGAGUUAGAACUUGAAUCCUGUAAUUUGGAAGAGAUGAAGAUUGACAGCACAGAAGAGGUAAAGAAACUUUUUCGAAAUGGUUUCCGCAAUCUUAACACAGUUGUCCUAAGGUCUUGCAGAGGGAAGGACUUAACGUGGCUUGUUUUUGUUCAAAAUCUCAAGCAGCUAAAUAUGCAGGGUUUUACUAUGGAAGAGAUAAUCAGUGUUGAAAAAUUGAGUGAUAUUUCAGAGGUAAUCGGGUCAGAGCAUAACUUUUUCCCACGACUCGAAUAUCUAACCAUGUGGCGGGGAACAAAUUUAAAGAGCGUUUACCCGAAUCCCCAGCCUUUUCCAAAGCUGAAGAAAAUUCAAGCAUUUCAUUGCCGACAGCUGUAGAAGCUCCCACUCAAUUCCAGCAGCGCGAAGGGACGUCGAGUUGUGAUGACAAUGCUAUAUUUGCUGCAGGACUUGAGUAAAAAUAAAAACAGCAAGAUUUGAUUAUGCUGUCAAUAAAAUCCUGCAAGAUUGUAGGAAAAAAAUUUGUUUUUAAAUUUUAUGAUAUCAGAUAUAUGUUAAAGAUAUGUAGGCAGAUUUUUUGGCUUUGUUUGUUUCUUUUCAUGUAUAAAUUCAAAUACUGCAAUAAUGAAUAAAAUACUGCAAUUAACAGACCCAAUUUCUAUGUGUUCUCUUUUCUUUGUUUAAAACCAACAAGGUGGUAUCAGAGCCCUUAUUCUUAAGGGACUUGUAACGUGAUUAGAGAGGCUUCCUACACUUCAAUAUGGCAGGAAAUGGUUUCUUAUCUGCUCCUCCAGUUUUCACAGGUGAAAAUUAUCAAAUAUGGGCUGUGAAAAUGGAAUCUUACUUGGAUGCAUGUGACCUAUGGGACUUGGUGGAAGCAGAUCCAGAGGAUCCACCAUUAGCUCAUAUGAGGAAUAACAGGGAUGAAAGAAAAUGGAGAUAUAAGGCCAAGACAUGCAUUCACUCUGCAGUUUCGGAGACAAUUUUUACAAAGAUCAUGACUUGUGAAACAACGAAACAGGCAUGGGAUCUUUUGAAACAAGAAUAUCAGGGGAACGUCAGGACAAAACAAAUGCAGGUCCUGAACCUGAGAAGGGAAUUUGAAAUGUAGAAAAUGAAGGAGACAUAAACAGUUAAUGACUAUAAAGACAAGUUGAUGAUGAUUGCCAAUAAAAUUAGAAUGCUUGGGGAAGAGUUUUCUGAUAGAAGGAUUGUAGAGAAGAUUUUGGUGACCUUGCCUCAGAGAUUUGAAUCUAAAAUCUCUUCACUUGAAGAGUCCAGAGAUAUGUCAACAAAGGAGAGCUUACAGAAAGGAGGAGAUAGUUGAAGGAGCAUUUCAAGUGAAAGAGGCUGAUCAAGCUCAGGGAGGCAGCAAAGAAAAGAAACAGUGGAGUAAGAAGAUUUACAAGAAGGGGGAAAGUAGCAUCAAUGAAGGCAACAAGGGCAAGCACUCCCCGUGUCCUCACUAUAAGAAAACCUCUCAUCCGCAAAAGAAAUGUUGGUUUAGGCCUGACAUUCAAUGCAGGGCAUGCAAGCAAAUUGGGCAUAUGGAGAGGGUGUGUAAAAACAAACAGCAAGAAGGACAUCAAGCUCAAGCAGCAGAACAACAACAGGAUGAACAACUUUUUGUUGUAUCUUGUUUUUCGAGUAACAGUUCGAGUGAUGAUUGGCUCAUCGACAGCGGAUGCACAAAUCACAUGUCUUUUGAUGAAUCUCUUUUCAAAGAAGUAAACAAGUCAGAAGUGUCAAGAGUUAAAGUUGGCAAUGGGCAGUAUAUUGAAGUGAAAGGUAAAAGGACAGUUGCAAUAAAAAGCUCAGCAGGUAUCAAGUUAAUUUCUGAUGUAUUACUUGUUCAUAAAAUUGAUCAAAAUCUACUGAGUGUGGGACAAUUGCUUGAGAAAGGUUAUUCUGUUGAAUUUAAGAAUAACAUGUGUGUCAUUACUGACCCAAAUGGUGUAGUGUUGUUCUCUGUGAAAAUGAAUAGCAAAAGCUUCAGCUUAAGUUGGAACAAGGAUGAAUGUAGUGCAUAUCAAUGUACUUUGAACCAGGCUGAGUUAUGGCACAAGCGGAUGGGGCAUUUUCAUUAUUCUGCAUUAGAUUACAUGCAGAAAAAUGAUCUUGUGCAAGGAAUGACUUUCAAUGGAGGAGGAGCAUCAGUGUGUAGAGUCUGUCAGCUGGGAAAACAAGCUAGAUUGCUAUUCCCUGUUAAUAAGGCAUGGAGAGCAGUUGAGAAGCUUCAGUUAAUCCACACAGAUGUUUGUGGACCUAUGAGGACUGCAUCCUUAAAUGGUAAUAGGUACUUCAUGGUUCUUAUUGAUGAUUUUAAUAGAAUGUGUUGGAUUUACUUUCUCAAACAAAAAUCUGAAGUUGCUAGUGUAUUUUGGAAGUUUAAAAAAUGGAUUGAAAAUCAAAGUGGUUGUAAAAUCAAGGUGAUUAGAUCUGAUAAUGGGACUGAAUAUACAGCUGAUAAAUUUGCUAAGUUUUGUGAAGCUGCAGGGAUUGAACAUCAGCUUACAACAACCUAUACACCUCAACAAAAUGGAGUCAGUGAGAGGAAAAACAUGACAGUCAUGGAGAUGGCUAGAUGUUUGUUGUUUGAGAAGGAAAUGCCAAAAAUGUUUUGGGCUGAGGAUGUUAAUACUGCUGUAUUUCUGCAAAACAAGUUACCAACAAAGGCUUUAAAGGGAAAAACACCUUUUGAAGCUUGGUUUGGUUUUAAACCCUCUAUUCAUAACUUGAGAAUUUUUGGUUGCAUGUGUUUUACUCAUGUUCCAGAUGCAAAAAGAGAGAAGUUGGAUCAAAAGGCAGAAUAUGGAGUUUUUGUAGGAUACAACACUCUCACCAAAGGUUAUAGAGUUUAUCAACCUUUGACGGGAAGAAUCAUAGUGAGUAGAGAUGUUAAAUUUGAUGAAACUGGAGGAUGGAAUUGGGCAACAGCUGAACCAAAGCAAGUUUAUGCAGAAGAAAAAACAUCAGAAUUGCAAGAUGAUGAUAUAAUUGAUGAUGAACCAAUAAGAGGUACCAGACCACUUAUAGAAAUUUAUCAAAAGUGCAAUAUGGUUGUGCUUGAACCUGCAGGUUAUAAUGAGGCUGCUAAAGAUCCAAAGUGGCUUGAACCAAUGGAAGAUGAGAUCAAGAUGAUUCACAAGAAUCAAACUUGGGAGUUGGUGGACAGACCACUACACAAGAAAACUAUUGGUGUGAAAUGGGUUUAUAGAACCAAACUCAAUGCUGAUGGUUCUGUAAACAAAUUCAAAACAAGGCUAGUUGUAAAAGGGUAUGCUCAACUAUUUGGUGUUGACUUUUCUGAAACGUUUGCACCUGUAGCAUGGCUGGACACCAUCAGAUUGCUUUUAGCACUUGCAGCACAAAAGCAGUGGAAAAUCUACCAGCUUGAUGUUAAAUCAGCUUUUUUAAAUGGCUAUUUGGAUGAAGAAAUCUUUGUUGAGCAACCUGAGGGUUUUGUUGCAGAUCUGAAGAAAGUAUAUUUGUUAAAAAAAGGCAUUAUAUGGCUUGAAGCAGGCUCCAAGAGCUUGGUACAGCAGGAUUGAUGAUCAUUUGCUGAACAUAGGCUUCAACAAGAGCAUGAGUGAAUCAACUUUGUAUAUUCAAGUAAUUAAUCAUGAAUUGAUUGUUGUUUCACUUUAUGUUGAUGAUUUUCUUGUCACAGGAAGCAAUGAAGAAUUAGUGAAGCAAUUUAAGGUUCAAAUGAUGCAAGCAUUUGAAAUGACUGAUCUAGGAGAGAUGACUUUCUUUUUAGGUCUGGAGAUUCAAAAGUCACAGCAAGGGAUCUUCAUUGGACAGCAAAAAUAUGCUAAAGAAGUGCCAAAGAAAUUCAACAUGGAGGAUUGCAAGUCAGUAUGUACUCCUUUAGCUCAAAAUGAGAAAUUUAGUAAAGAUGAUGGUGCUGAAAAGAUUGACGAAGCAUUAUAUAGGAGUAUUAUAAGUUGCUUGAUGUAUUUGACAGCAACAAGACCUGAUAUAAUGUUUGAUGUAAGUUUGCUGUCCAGAUAUAUGCAUUGUGCAAGUGAAUUGCACUACAAAGCUGCUAAAAGGGUGCUCAGGUAUAUCAAGGGAACUUUGGAUCAUGGAAUAAAAUUUGAGAAGGAAGACAAGCUGAUUUUGCAUGGUUUUGCUGAUAGUGAUUGGGCAGGAUCCUGUGAUGAUAUGAGGAGCACGUCAGGCUACUUGUUUAGUCUUGGUUCAAGUUGUUUCUGUUGGAGUUCAAAGAAGCAGGAAAUCGUAGCUCAGUCUACUGCUGAGGCUGAGUAUGUUGCAGCUGCUGCUGCAGUCAAUCAAGCCUUAUGGCUAAGGAAGCUUAUGACAGAUUUGAAAAUGAUUCAGGAUUAUGCAACUGAAAUCUUUGUUGAUAAUCAAGCUGCCAUAGCAAUUUCUAACAAUCCAGUGUUCCAUGGGAAGACAAAGCAUUUCAAAAUUAAAGUAUUAUUUUGUUAGAGAAGUCCAGAAGAAUGAUGAAGUAAGGCUCGUGUAUUGCAAGACUGAAGAUCAGCUAGCUGACAUUUUGACAAAGGGACUGUCAAAGUCAAGAUUUGAGUUGUUGAAGAAAAGAAUUGGUGUCUGCAGCAAAAAUAGCAAGGAGGAGUGAUGACAAUGCUAUAUUUGCUGCAGGACUUGAGUAAAAAUAAAAAUAGCAAGAUUUGAUUAUGCUGUCAAUAAAAUCCUGCAAGAUUGUAGGAAAAAAAUUUGUUUUUGAAUUUUAUGAUAUCAUAUAUAUGUUAAAGAUAUGUAGGCAGAUUUUUUGACUUUGUUUGUUUCUUUUCAUGUAUAAAUUCAAAUACUGCAACAAUGAAUAAAAUACUGCAAUUAACAGCCUCAAUUUCUUUGUGUUCUCUUUUCUUUGUUUAAAACCAACAAAUUGUCAUCGAGGGAACGAAAAAAUGGUGGGAAGAGCUACAAUGGGAGGAUCAAGCCACCCAAAAUGCUUUCUUUUCCUGUGCCGUACUUUGGGAGGAUCCUUAUUAUUAAUAUGUUUGAAUAUGUAUUUCCUUUUUCUUUUUUUUCUUGCUAUAGAGUUGCAUGAUUGUGAUGAUCCUUAUUAUUAUUAUCCUUUUUUUUUUUCACAUGAAGUUCAGUAACUACUUCCGAGAUUAAUAAGAUCCAACUCGUUUUUGGUUUAGUCAAAAACUUUUUGUGGCUCUAAAUCCUUUUUAACACCAGGCCAGGCAUCCACAAAUAUAUUGACACCAUUUUAUUUAUUGAUGUUUAUAUAACUGAAUUGAUUACAAAUUACCCUUUUUGUCCAGUGUGUUCAGAAUAUACUCUGCACAACUAACACAAAAAUAAACAUGUAACAUACUAAUCGUUUAUGUUAAUUUAUGGAGGCCUUAUUGUCCAAGGCAUAUGUAAAACCAUUUCACAUUCGGCAUUGUAAUGUUUAUGGACGGAUUUAAAUGAUGUCACACAAAGUCACAAAUAGUUAAAAAAAAGAAGGUGUUUGUUUUAAAAUGUUGGCAUAUUUAUGGAGUGGGAACUCAGAUGCUGAACUCUGAAUGGGCUGGAAUCGGAAUGGGUUAGAAUCGGAAUGAGCCGGAAUGAGAAUGGGGAAUGAGAGUCAAAAUAAGUUGUUUAUUUGAACUGUAGGAAUCGAAAUCGGAAUGAGUUAGAACCCCAUUAAUGUGUUUACUUUAUCUAAGAAUCGAAAUCGGAAUAAGUUAAGUUGUUUUAAGUUACUAAAACACCCUUAGUUGUUAAUAAUAAUAAUAAUAGUUGUCCUUUGGUAUUAAUGAUAAUAAUAAUAAAUUUAAUAAUAACAUUAUAAAUAAAUAAAUAAUAGUAAUAAUUAAUGAUAAUAAUGAAAUUAAAUAACAACUACUAAUACUACAAUAAUAAUAAUAAUAAUAAUAAUAAUAAUAAUAAUAAUAAUAAUAAUAAUAAUAAUAAUAAUAAUAAUAAUAAUAAUAAUAAUAAUAACAACAACAACAACAACAUUAAUAACAAAUAAGCAAACAAUGAAAUAAUACAAACACCAAUCUACAUAAUUUUAAUGUACAAUAAGUGGCCGAACAAUAUAAGAAAUUAAUAAUUUAAAAUAUAAAAUUAUAAUUCCCAAAACAAACAUUGUGCUCCUCUUCACCGGAUGUAGCAGAUCGCGACGAAAAAUGGCGGCAGGAUGAGCGCGACCACGGUGGCAACAGAUCGAUCGGGACCACGGCGGCAGAUCGUGACGAACGAAAGCAGCAGAUCGCAGCCUUUUGACACCCCCUCGAAGACCCUCCUUUAAAUUCCUUAUAACUCUUUAAUUAAAAUUAUUUAAAUAAUUAAAGAUAAAUUAAUUCCAUUUUAUUUUGAUGGAAAAUUUAAUUAAUACUUAAAUAAAAUUAUUCUUUUAACAUUUUUCCACCCACCUCAUUUCAUAUAUAUAUAUAUAUAUAUAUAAUUUUUAGAAACUUUUAAUAAUUUAUAAUCUUUUUAAGGUGAAAUUUAAUGAGAAGAUUAUUAAUUUUAAUUUAUGGAUUAGUAUUUUAUAAAUUAAACCAAGGUACUUUGAUAAAUAAAAAUUAAAACAAGUUUUAUAAGGAUUUUGGAGUGUACGAAUUCAGAAUAUAGAUUUUCAUGGGGACGUUGAAUAUGCUGAAGCUGAAGCUAUGAAUUUUAGAAUAAAAAUGGCAAUAGACUUUGGUUUAAUGCCAUUAAUUGUUGAAUCAGACUCGAAUACUAUUUUAAACUUGGCGAAAGGUUUUGAAAGAAGUAUGAAAGAAAUAUCAUGGUUAAUUUUCGAGAUUCGAAAUUGUAUGGUUGUGAAAGACCACUUCGAAAUCAAUCUUACAUAGAGAAGUAGUAGUGAGACCACUCAUAAAUUAGAUAAAUAUGAUGUUAACAAUUCAGGCUGUGUAAUUUGGUUGGAGGAAAUUUCAACUCAUGUAAGUCUUUUUCCUUUAAGCGAUUAAUUGAAGUUUUCCAUUUCCAAAGAGAGAUAGAGAGAGAGAGAGAGCUCAACUCAAAUGAAAGUACGAAACAAAGAGUAAAUCCUGAUAGUAGAAAAAUGAGCCAUGAGUAGAACUAUUCGCACCUUUGAAAGCCCUCAUAAAAAUCUUUCUUCAAUAUGUCCCGCUAAAUCAUUUAAAAAAUAAUAUUAUUUCUAAGGGCAGAGCUAUUUGCACUCUAAAAAUUAUUCUCAACGUUUUAUUACUAUAUACACAUAUUUAUUAAUUUAAAAAAAUGAACUAUAUUUUGUACAACUAUGAUGCCACUUCCACCUCCAAUUGAAUGUCAGAAAAUUCAAAGUUUGUCAAAAGAGGAUGGUAAAUUAAGCCCCCUUUUUUUUUUAAUCUGGAUUUGGUUGAACAUUUUUAUGUCGCAAAAAUGUUUGCUGUGUUGUAAUGCCUAAGUGUUGCAGACUAGUUUGUAAGAGUCUGAAUAAUUGUCCAUGUUACUCUGGUAUUGUGGAAUGCCAUGUAUUUUUUGGCCAAAAGAAAAAAUCAAGCAACCAAUGUAAACUUGUUUAAUAUCAUCAUAAUAUAACUGAAAAAGAAGUAAUUAUAGUCAUACAAAAAAAAUUAAUAAUUGUCAUGUCCUUAAUAAUAAUUUAUAUCAUAAAUAUUAUUGAAAUAAUUUUUUUUUAUAAAAUUAUCAGUGUUUAGUGUAAUUUUUAGAGUGUAUAUAGCCUCAUUCUAUUUCUAAACCCACAUAAGUUGAUUCCAAAAACACCCUUGGCUUACACACCAACCCCAUUUUCACAUUUUCUUCGUCUUGGGGAGCUUGAAACCCAAAUCUGAUGGCUUCAACUUUCGAAUAAUCAUUAUCUCCAUUAGAACUUAUAAUUUUAAAAGCUAUUUCCAUAAUAUUUUCAUUAGAAUUUCUUAUAACAACAUCCAACAUUGGUUAUUGAUAUUUUAAGGUUUCAUCUUAAAUAAUAAUAACAAAAUAAUUAAAAUUUUAUCAAAAUUUAAGGAAAUACAUUGUACUUUGAUAAACAAGGAAUGUCAACUAAAUAUCGUCAAAAUAAAUAAUAAAUUUUUAAGUCGAGUUUUGGUUUCACAUAAUUGUAAUUAUGGAGACUAGUUAUUCGAAUAAAAUUUAAUUUCUUCUGUUUAUCAUUGUAACUUUACAUAGGGACAAUUGCAUGAUUAUAAAGGCAGGGUUUGAUAAGGAUUUUUUGGAGGUACCAAUAGGACCACUCAUGAGCCAUGACAAAAUUAAGCCCAUGCGAGGCCCACCUAAUCCAUUUUUACAUUUAGCCAAUUAGCCUGAAGAAUAAGACGAUAAUAAACAGUAAGCCUAAAUAAUAAGAUGAUAUGAAAGUAAGAAUAAGGUUAAGAUACCAAUUUUUUAGUCUUAACUUCUUAAGUCUUAAGUCUUAAUGUAACAUGUCAUUCAUUUAUUAGACGAUAAAUUUCAUAACUUGUAAAAUUAUUUAACCACCAUCCAAUAAAUGAUUGUCAUAUCUAUUGAAAUUUAAAUUUAAAUUUUAGAAUACUUAGCAUUGAGCUGAAUCUAAACGAUUUUAUUUUCUAUUAUUUUUAUUUUAUUUUAAUUUUUUUUCACAAUCGGAUUUUUCUUUGAGACAAUAGAAAGCCUUUUGGCUUUAAGUUUCUGAAAACCAAUAAUAAAAAAUUAUCCAUGAGUUUCUGAAAACCAAUUAACUUCAAAAUCUCUUCCAGCGCUAGGAGGAACAUCUUCAAUAACUUUUUCAUGACCUUUUGGGUAAUAAAUCCCAGUUCUUUCAUGAGGAACCCAGCUACAAUUCCCUUCAUUUUCUCCCACAUUAUUAUUCAUCUGCUGGCUCCUCAUCACAUUUCCUUCUUCCGCAUUGGAUUUCAAUGCUGUUUCUCUUAUCAUAUCAUUAGAACUUGCUUUCUUUUGAAAGGAUUUCCUCAUUAUUGGCCUAUAUGUUUCAAAAAGACUUAACAAAUUAAUAAUGUAAAAACAAAGACUAAAAUAUUCAAACACUCAAAUGAAUGAAAGUAAUCUCUUUUUAUUAUUGCGUGGACAGUGGCGAAAUCAGGAUUUUGGAUGUCAUCAAUAAUAGAGAAACAACAAAUUUUAAGUAGGUUAUAACACAAGAAUAUAAACAUAUGGGGGCUACAAAAUAAAAUUAUCAGACAUAAGGAUAAAUUUAAUUGAAGACUUUCAUAUUUCUUGAUAAUGUUUUUUAACCUGAGUCCCCUGUGGAGACAUAUUGAUUCAGUUAAUAAAACAUUUAAUUCUAUGUACUUAACCAACCACUCAUAAUUAGUAAUUACAUAAUUUGAAACUAUUAGGCCUAUUUCGAACGAACUGUUUCAUAACAAAAUUAAUUUAGAUAAAGUGAAAAGAUUUAUUUACAAACAUACCAUGCAAUAAUGAAGUGCGAUUGUCAAAAUGAAAUGAUGAAAUAGCAAAGUAGAUAGAUAAAAACAUGGAGUUAAAGGUGGGAGCUCCUCUAGCAAAUGAUCCUGUCAUCUUUUUCUUCUUUUUUCUCUCACUUUCUCUCUUUCCAAACAAUGUGGGUGGAAUGAAUUGAAUUAUGAUUUAGAUAGAGAGCUCUUUACAUAGUGAAGUUAAAUAAGAGAAUAUUGUUAUCUAUUUCUCUCAUCUCUAGGGAGAUCGUUUAUUGUACGUCAUUUUCUGUUUGGAUAAAUAUUAAAUUAUAACACUCUUUCUUGAUCAUUGGGGAGCACUCAUUGCAGAGCAUGGCCUUCUUUUGUUCCCUUUUGUUUUGUUUUUGUUUUUUAGUCAUCUAAGUUAUGGGACAUGGCUUGUGGACUCAGCUUUUAGAAACUUUCCCUAGAUAAGUAGUUGAAUCUAGGGGAGGUACUUUUUAGUUUUAUAAGUGACAUUGAUUCACCUCAUGAUUAGUGGCCAGAGAGAAUAAUUACGAAAAAAAAAUUUUAAUUGUUAAUUAAUUUUGUUGAAUAUAUUAAAAUAGCCAAGUUAAAUUUAUAAAAAUAGUUUCAUAAACUCUUAAAUCCAUAAAAUUUUAAUUUUGAGGAUUACAAAAACCACACUUUAACAGAUAUACAAAAAGAUUGUAAAGAUAUAAGAUGAGUCGUUAAUAAUUGCACGUGCAAACAUCGUAUAUUCUUUAUAAUUAAUUGUGCAGAUUUUCAUGACCAAUGCACCAGAUUUUGAUGACCAAUGCACCUGGGUGCGAAAACAAAAAUUAGAACAAAAUAUAUUAAUAAGGGAAGGCCACUCUUUUGUCAAUAUAUAUAUAUAUAUAUAUAUAUAUAUAUAUAUAUAUAUAUAUAGAGUUUGUUAUAAAAGAUUACCUCAGUAUCAAACUCUCCCGAUUCAACAUUGACAUUGAUGACAGUGAAAAUCUUUACAAGAUCCACCAAUAAUCCAGGUCGAUCAGCCGUCUCCACCAAAAGCAAACUUCAAUAAAACAAAAGGUAAACUAAACAAAAAUAGUAAGGACCAAAUUAUCUGACUACUUCAGUUAUGGGCAGGAAUUGCCACUUGGGCUGGAGUAUGAGUAGUAAUAAUGUGGGACCAAAGUUUGGUGGAUAGCAAAAGCCCCAUCAUCUAGAUAAGAGAAUGAAUUAUGCAUUGCCUUCGGUUGGGGCCAUCAUCAUAGAUGCUUAUGUGGGUUGCUAUGUCCACAUCAACCUGACAAAUUCCAGCACAACAAGAUUUGAGACAAGAUUGAAGUGGGACGUUAUCCUUCCCAUAAUAACUCAUAUACGUAGUUUUUAACAUUCACAACAUGAUAUUAAUUUCAAUGGCAGGCAAAUUGAAUAUAAUGUCUUUAAAGAAAAUGAGGAUAAAAGUGAAGUAAUAUUUGGCCUAAGAGAACUCUAAAACAACUUAGUUUCCUAUUCAAAUGAUCACUAGUGAGAAGAGCCAAAAAUAUCAAUAAUCUGAAAAAUCAAAAUAAGACCAGAAAGCAAAAACCUGUUGUUUUGGAGGAUCAACGCCAAAGGCAACACCCAUUGCCAACUGGGAACUUGAUUCCUGAUUCCAUCACCAACACAAAUGGAAUAAGCUUUUGAAUAAGACAAUUCCUACAGGUGCUCCACCAAGUGAUAUCUCAAGAGAGACAAAAAAAAAUGAUUACCGGGUGAUACUGAAGUAGAUUGUUUAUAACUGUCAAACAAAUUGCCUCAAGCACCUCAGGAUCAUCAACUUUCCUACCAGUAUCACCGCACACAAGCAUCAUGACCAAAUUAAUCAAAACCACAGUGGGAAUCUAUUGCAAGAACUGCUCCAAAAAACACCGAUGGCUCUUUGGAUCAUUGAUUUUAGGUUCUAGUAUGUCCAAAAUUUUAACGAUUUCAACAUUAGUGAUAAACAUCUAUUUGCAACAGACUGAUCAUACUUGUAUAUGGAGCAUCACAAGUAGGUAUUUACUAUGCUCAUCAAAUAUAGACCAGAAGACGUUGACAACAAUUAAAGGGUAUUAGUGAAUGAAACUGCAAGCAGAGAAUACAAAUCAGCUCAGUAAUGCAAGGGCAUGAAAAGCAAAAUGCAUAUGCAUCACAAAAUUAUAGAGAUAUAUAAUUUCGCAGUCAUAUGAUGAUAUUGCAGCGGUGAAGCCGUGCGUGAGGUUAAGGCAAGCGAUGGAAUGACUUGCGUUACAAAAGAGGUAUUUGCAAUGAUUGUGUACUGGACGGAAAUUGAAUCCAUGUUUAAGAAUUUACCGCCGGGGAAAAAAUGUCAAUACAAAGUCAAUGCGAACGAAUAGUGAAGUCAGCAGUCGCAAAGGCAAAGUUCUUAACCAGAUGGACUCCAGAUAGAUUAGCGGUGGCAGUUUCACAGCUGACAGAUGAACAAAGAAUGGCUGCUUGUCAAAUGGGCUUUGGUAGUUUUCUACAACUGAACCGUGGCAAGCUAAAAAGGAAACUUUGUGGCUAGUUAAUUGAGAUGAUUGAUACUUUGAGGUACAUUUUAGAGUUGAAUGGUAUUAGCUUUCGAACAAGAUCAUCAAAGAAACUCCACCAACCAGGAAAUUUAGACUUAAUCUAUGCUCUGCAAAUUCAUAUACUCUCUAAUAUGAAACUACUUUUAUGUGUUUUGUUAUUCCGACUUGGUAACGUUGUUAUGGAAGCCUGACAACUAUUAUGUCCGUGCAAUUUUUAUUGUAUCUUUUGUUAUGUCAUGAUAUCGAAGCUUGGUUUUCUGACUCCAACUACUAAGAACUGCAGUUGCAGCAUCUUUUGAAUAUUACAUAUGUGCUUGUAGUGUCUCCACGGAUUAAAAUCUGCUAUUUAAGUUCUUCUACCGCCCCCGCUUCUUCUUUCAUUUAUACUUGCUGCACCAUUUACUUCACACUCUGUAAAGCCAUAUGAAAGCUUGUUCAUUUAUGUUCACUUGCAAUUCAAAAGCAGUGUUUAUUUCAACUGUCAAAUUGACUACUUGCACGUAUUGAUUUCAGUCGAAACAAGGUUAUUGGUCGAUCCAGAAAUUGAAUCCAUAUGGCCAUUCCAGCAUCAUUCAACCACCUAAUUUCAAAUAUAUAAAUUAAUUCAACCCACUUAAGUGAUCAAAGGCGUGGAACAAAUCAUGAAAGAUUUUUCAGCUAUCAUAAAUUCGAACGGAUGUAGUUUGUAUUCUUUCAGGCUUAGACAGAUUUUUUGCAACAUAAACUUGUAUGUAAUGUACAUUUUUUUGUUCCUUACAAAUUAAUUGCUGCUAAAAUAAUUGUUUCGACCAAUAUUUAUUGUUAUAAUAGAGAAACCUUUUCUUGCAACUCAAACAGUUCCGAUGGCAUGAUCUGCAUCCCCUGUUUGCCUCUUGGGCUGCACGAUCUUGCUCCUUUUCAUCAAACGGCAACUUCGCUGCAGACAAAAAGAGGGGGUACAGUGCGCAGGGGCACCGUAGAUGUAGCCCAAAAAGAUGAUUUUGUCCCUCCAUGUCUAAGUAUUUUAACCAAAAAAUAAUAAUAAUUCCUUACAUCAUCAAUGAUUGCACUUGUAAAUCUAAGGGAUUAGAAUUCUGUAUUGAAUUUAUAUUUUAUUAAAUAAAAAAUUAAUGUUAAUUUUUUUUUUUUUUUAUCUAGCUAUCAUUGACUUUAUAUUUUGGAUCUUCAUCCAGAAUUAAGGCACAAAAUUUUUGUUCUAAAUAAAUAUUCUCAAUAUAAAUUUAUCACUUAAAUAAUAAUGAUAAGAUUUAAUAUUAAUUCUAUCAUUACUGAAAUGGAUUACAAAUUUUAUAUGACUUGUAAACGUAUCAUUAUGUUCUUGAUAUUUGAAACAUGAAUCAAGCAACAUAUGUAGCAUAUUUUUAUUUCAGUGUCGUGCUUCUCUAAAAAUUGUUGAAAGCAGAAGCCAAGCUGGCAUGCCUCCUGAGCUGGUGUGGUAGGUGAGUUGGAUUUGUUGAGCUGGCAAAUGAAAUUAUUUAUGAUGAUGCUGUGAAUUUAAUUGUCGUAUAAUGUUUGUGUAGAAUUAAGAAUGGAAGACAAUGUCGAUGAUGACAAGAAGAAUAGCAGCGCAUGUGAAUUGAAUAGUUGCAUCUUCUAGAAGCUUAAUGUGAUUGGUUCACAAUUGAAUUGAAUAGUUGCAUCUGCUAAUGAAGAAUAGCAGCGCAUGUGAAUUGAAUAGUUGCAUCUUCUAGAAGUUUGUCUCUGUAUGCAAACUAGCAAAGCUCUGUAUUUCAUUUUCAUUCAAGUCAUCAUAAUCAAUAAAGGCCUGAUUCUCAUACUCUGUUUGCAUUUGAAAGCAAUUCUUAAGAAUUUAAGUAAAAUGACCCUCACCAAAUUAGCUUAAUUCUUUUCAUUGUACCCAUUGCUUCACUUCCUCUUUUCGUCAACGACAAUGGGUAACUUAAUCUCAACCUUCUUACCAGCAGACUUAUUCGAUCGAACUUCAAACUGCGUUGGUGAACAAGCAAAAUAUGUAUGGGGUCUCGAAAAAAAUCUUCGGGUCUUGGAGACUGAAUUGCACAAAUUGACUCGAGCAAGGGACGAUCUGAAGACCAAGGUUGAGGUCGAAGAACAACGACCUCGAACCAGACGAACGAACCAGGUCGCAGGGUGGCUUGAAGAUGUGCAAAAACUGGAAACUGAAUUUACCGAGCUGGAACGAGUUAGAGCUCAAGAAAUGGAUAGAUUGUGCCUUGGAGGCCUCUGUUCCAAAAACUUCGUUUCAAGCUACAAUUACGGGACUCAGGUGGUCGAGUUGACGGAUCGAGUGAUCAAUUUAAAGAAAGACGGAGAAACAAUUGAAGUCGUUGUUGAGAAGGCGCCGGAUGGUGCAGCAAUUGAAUUACCUGUUGAUCACACGGUUGUUGGUCAAGAACGAUUACUUGAUCAAGUUUGGAGAUGUAUCACUGAUGAGGAAAAGAACAGGGGAAUUAUCGGCUUGUAUGGUAUAGGGGGAGUCGGCAAAACUACCCUUUUAAAACAAGUCAACAACAACUUCUGCCAUCAACGGCAUAUUUUUGAUGUUGUUAUCUGGGCGGCUGUGUCAACACUUCAAGAUGACAUUGGAAAAAGGAUUGGCUUUUCAGAAGCCAAGUACUGGAAGGAAAAAAGUCUUCAAGCUAAGGCUGUGGACAUCGCUGGCAUUUUAUGCCGAAAGAAGUUUGUGUUGUUAUUGGAUGAUAUAGGGGAACGGAUUGAUUUAACACAAUUGGGUGUCCCUCUUCAAAAACUAAAAGAUGGGUCCAAAGUAGUCUUGACAACUCGUUCAGCUGGUGUUUGCGAUCAAAUGGACGCUGAAAAGGUGGAAGUGUAUAGUUUGGCGCAUGAUAAAGCCUGGGAAUUAUUUCAGGAGAUGGUCGAAAGAUCCACUCUUGACAGUCAUACCAGUAUUCCAGAGCUAGCCGAAGCCUUGGCAAGAGAGUGUGGUGGGUUGCCGCUAGCGCUUAAAACAGUGGGUCGAGCCAUGAAAAGCCAAAGGAGAGUUGGAGAUUGGAAACGUGCAAUUAACAAAAUGAGAACAUCAGCUUCUAAAUUCUCAGGUAUGAAAGAAGAGGUGUUUUCGCGUUUAAAGUUCAGCUAUGAUAGUUUGUCUACGGAUGAACUUCGUUCCUGUCUCCUGUAUUGUUGUUUAUACCCUGAAGACUACAAAAUUCCUAAAAGGGAAUUGAUUGAUUAUUGGAUUAGUGAAGAAUUUGUGUGUGAUUUUGAUGGUGGAUGCGAUUUUAUUGAUGACCUUCUUCAUGCAUGCUUAUUGGAGGAAGAAGGCGAUGAUCAUGUAAAGAUGCACGAUAUGAUUCGUGAGAUGUCAUUAUGGAUAGCGUGCACGGUAGACAAGGAGGAGCAGAACUUUCUGGUUCGCGCUGGAGUUGAAUUGACCGAAGCACCAAAGUUUGAAGAAUGGCAAGGUGCCAAACGGGUAUCUCUGAUGGGAAAUGGAAUUAGGAGCUCAUCGGAAAUUCCCACGUGUCCGCGCCUCGUAACUUUACUUCUUUCAAUCGAUGUCUUCUCUUAGAGUAUUAAGUCUAAGAGGAAAUUUUCCCCUAAGAACACUACCUUCAGGGAUUUCAGGUUUGGUUUCAUUACAUCAUCUUGAUCUAUCAUCGACUAACAUAACUGGGUUGCCGCAAGAGCUGAAGGCGUUGGAGAAGUUGAGAUAUUUGAACUUGGACUAUACACGGUUUUUGUCUAUAAUUCCACAUCAAUUGAUAUCUGGUUUUUCAAAGUUGGAGGUACUCAGGUUGCUUUCACGCGGUCGCUGGAGCGUAAUAGAAGGUAACGUUCUAUGUGAUGAUGCUGAACCUUUGAUGAAGGAAUUGCUGGGUUUGAAGCAUUUAAAUGUUUUAAGCUGGACCUUCCGAAGUUCACUUGCUGUCCAAAAGUUUUUGAAAUAUCCAAAGCUGGUGAGCAUCACUCAAUCUGUAAUGGUUUGCCAAUGUGAAAGUCCACCGUUCAAUGUCUUACAUCUAGCAUACAUGGAGAAUCUUCAGGAGUUACGCAUUUCAGACAGUAAUUUGGAAGAGAUGAAGACUGACAGCACAGAAGAGGUAAAGAAACUUUUUCAAAGUGGUUUCCGCAGUCUCGACAGAGUUGUCAUAUGGAGUUGCCAAAAAAUGAAAGACUUAACGUGGCUAGUUUUUGUUCAAAUUCUCAAGCAGCUGCGUAUAGUCUUUUGUACAGAAAUGGAAGAAAUAAUUAGUGUUGAUAAAUUGAGAGAUAUUUCGAAGAUAAUCGGGUCAGAGCAUAACUUUUUUGCACAACUCGAAUCUCUAACCAUAAAGUGGGGAAGAAAUUUAAAGAGCGUUUACCCGAAUCCCCUGCCCUUUCCAAAGCUGAAGAAAAUUGAAGUACGUGAAUGCCCACAGCUGAAGAAGCUCCCACUCAAUUCCAGCAGCGCGAAGGAACGUCGAGUUGUCAUCGAGGGGUCGAAAAAAUGGUGGGAAGAGCUACAAUGGGAGGACCAAGCCACCCAAAAUGCUUUCUCUUCCGGUGUCGUACUUGGGGAUGAUUUUCAUUAAUAUGUUUGAAUAUGUAUUUCUUUUCUUUUUCUUUUUUUUUUUAAUUUUCAUUAGAUUUAAUUGCAUCUUGUUGUUGUUGUCUGGUGUGUCAAUCGUUAUCUAUUUUCAGUUAAUAAAAUUUCAGCAGUGGAUUCUUGGUUUUAGAAUCCUCCCACUGGAAAGAAUUUCUCCUUUGGCUUGAAUGCGACCUUUUUACUCGUCGACAAAAUUGUAUUUGUCGCUUAAGUCUUGUUUGUUUUAAAAUGCUGGCAUAUUUAUAGAGUGGGAACUCAGAUGCUGAACUCAUAGUAAAUAUUUAUUUAAUUUGUUAUAAUUAUAUUUGGUGAGAUAUUUAUUCAAUAAUUGCCCUAUCACUUUGUGCAUGAUCACAGAAUUUUGUACUUCCGUCUGUGAAAUAACUUUUGGAAAAGGAAAUUAAUUUUUUUAAGUAACGGUAAAUAUUUUAAAUUUUUAUUUUAAAUUUUAUUUUAAAUAAUAUAGUAUGUAAUGUGUCAUUUAUUUAGUGAUUGAUAAUUUAAUAUAGGAUUUAAAUAAAUUAAUUAUGCUAUUUUAUUAUUUAAUUAAUAAAUAUUAUAUAAUUUAAAAUAGAUUUUUGAGAUAAAAAUUAUAAAAGUAAAAUUCUACUCAACAGACUAAAUUUAAAAUGAUGUGAUUGGCAGGUAAGACUUAAGAAUUAGACAAAAUUUCUCAUUCAACAGCUUGUAGAAAAUUUAUACACUAGGCCUUAGCUAAACUUGGACUUGUCGUAUGUUUGAAGUAUUCGACGAUAAUCAUAUCUGCAUUUUUAUUUUAUUUUUUAUUUUUGGUUUGUUUAGGGCUUUUCAUCGGUUUUCGUCUUGGUCUUUGUCCUGGUCUUGGCGUCUUGCUAUCAAAUCAAGUGUUCUCUUCUCCUAUCCUCUAAUGAAAGUGCAGGGCCUCAACUAUUUGUUACUGCUAUCACUUUAGAGGUUGAUGCUAAUGUCCGAAGGUCACGUUUAAUUUGCUUGAAUGUGACCUUUACUUUGGUUGACAAAAUUGUGAUUGUCACAAAGAACAAACUAUAAAAGUGCAGUUUAAAUCGAACACUGAAUUCCCUAUGGAAAUUUUCGCACCCGUAUAUAUAUUCUACAUUAUUUGGUUGCAAAGACUAUAAUUAACAAGAAGCUAAUAUAUAUAGUAGAGAGAGAAAUAACAAGUUCAAUGUUGGUAAAAUUUUAUCUUCCCUUCACUGCUCUCCUUUGCUGCAAUCAAGUGGCCUCACUUACAAAUUUUGACUUUUAAUUAUUUCAAUUAACACAAGAAAAAAAGGGCAAUAUAGUUUACAUUACUCUAUCAGCCUUAUAUAAAGGGUAUAAAUAUGAGAGUGCGUUUGGAAUUGAAGUCGGACACUUGUCGCUUAAAAGCUACAGUAGCAAAGUGUUUGGUAAAUACUAAUUGUUGUGUCUUGAAAGAUAUGUUGAUAUGAUUUUUCACUUGUAUAAUAGAGAAUUUAUUAUUUUAUUAUUAAUAAUUUCGUUAAAAUUAUUAUUUAAAAUUUAUAUUUAUUAAAUAUUAUUAACUUUUGUUUUAUAGUUACAAUUUUUUUUUUUUACAGCAACUGUACCUUAAAAGUUAUAACACUUCAAUUCCAAACGUACCUUAAGUCUGUAAGGCAUAAGUUUUCACUCUUCGGGAAUCUAAGGAGAUUAGGGCAAGAGCUGCACAUUUGUAGUCUCAAAUUCAUUUGACAUCAGCCAAUUUAAUGUCUAUGGACGGGUAUAAAGGACGUCACAGACGGUUAAAGAACAAGGUGUUUGAUGGAAAUGUCAAGAAGUUCGAUGAAAUGUCUCACCUACACAACCAAGCCACUUAACAUUGCAGUCUUAUAAUACAAUUCCUACCUUCUCUUCCAUUUUCACCAACAUAAUUCUUUCUUUCUCACUUUAUUUUCUUCCUUGAAAUUUUUGUUAACAAAAAUGGGUAACAUCAUUCUCAUGCGUGCUUCUUAUCACCAGACUCAAUUCUUGCAGUUUUAUUUUAUUUUAUUUUUCCUUCGUGGAGAUGCUAAAAUAUAUAUGAGAUCUAAAAAGCUAAUCUUGAUGAGUUGCAGAAUCCAAUGCAGAAUUUGAAAGUUACAAAAGAUUAUAAAUACUAUUUUAACUUGUAAGCUUCCAUUGCUAUACAGUGAGGUAUGUCUAGAUAUCAUUUUGGUCUUUUAUAUAUUGGGUUCCAGUGAAAGACUUUUGUUCUAGUUGAAUUUAAUUUUGUCUUUGUAUUUACAGACAAAAUAUUAGGGACAUUUAUCAUACAUAUUUGGCUAGUUCGCCGUGGAAAAAUAAUAAUAGUUGAAAAGACAUAGGGUACUUUUUAUUUUCCUUUAUAUUACUAAUAGAUUUCCCACGCGCAACAGACGAAGUCAUUGCUGCUUCAAUAAUUGCCCUAUCACUGUGUUCAUCAUCACAAAUUUCUUUAUUACGUUUGUGAAAUAACCAUUGCAUAAAAAAAUUACUCCAACUUUUUAACUAAUAAUAGAUAUCUCAAAUUUUAUUUUCAGAAUAUGGUAUGUAAUGUAAGCGAUCGAUAGUUCUUUAUAAAAUAUAUAAAUAAAUUAAUAGUGUUAUCUUAGUGUCUAAUAUAUAUAAAUGACUUUCUCCAUAUAUUGCACUAUUGAUAUGGGCUAAAGUUUUAUACUAUGAGACCCAAUUUCUAUAAUUUACACUAUAAGUUAAAAGUAUUUAGAAAAAUACUAUUGCAAAUCAAAAGGUAUUAUCUAUUUUAUACCUAAAGCAUUUUCACUAUUUAAGACUAGUAAAAUUUCUAUAUUAUUAUAAUAUUAGAAUCAAACACCAAUAAGCGAGUAAAUCAGGUGGAAUAAGAAUGUUCUAACUUAACCAAGGUCCUCGGUUUGAAACUUAGAAAUGCAACUACAUUAAAUACUUAUUGGGAGAGAUUUGCCGCUUUAGUGGUUCUAUCCGGCUCGAAUCUAGAUUAGUCGGGGAUCUAAUGUGGUCUUUGGAUACUAGAUGAUUUAAUAUACCGAUAAUAUUGGAACCAAACUCAUUUACAAUUAUGAAGAGGUUAUAAUUUAAUAGAGGCAUAGUAACAAACUAUUAAUAGAGAGUAUAAAAUUUAAUGUAUAAACAAAAUUCUAUAAUUUACACUAUAAGUUGCAAGUAUUUAGGUCAAUACUAUUGCAAAUCAGAAGAUAUUAUAUAUUUUAUGCCGAAAAUAUUUCCACUAUUUAAGGCUAGUAAAACUUCUAUAUAAUUAUAAUAUUGGAACCAAACACCAACAAGCGAGUAAAUCAACUAGAAUGGAAAUGUUCUAACGUCAAGGUCCUCGGUUCAAAACUUAGAAAUGCAACUACAUUAAAUAUUUAUUGGGAGAGAUUUGCCGCUCUAGUAGUUCUAUCCGGGUCGAAUCUGGAUUAGUCGGGAAUCUAAUGUGGUCUUUGGAUACUAGAUGAUUUAAUGUACCAAUAAUAUUGGAACCAAACUAAUUUACAAUUAUGAGGAGGUUAUAAUUUAAUAGAGGCGUAGUAACAAACUAUUAAUAGAGCGUAUCAAAUUUAAUAUUGGAAUCCGAUGAUUGGUUGCAACAUAAGAUAUUUGUAAGCUUAGUUAAAGGUUCAUUAAAAAUUAUAGAGAUAUAUAAUUUCGCAGUCGACGAAGCCAUGCAUGAGGUUAAGGCAAGUGAUGGAAUGACUUGCGUUACAAAAGAGGUAUGUGAAGUUGCACUAUAAAAAUAAAAUAAAUUUGUAUUUUCAAGUAGUGAAGGUGUAGUUAGUUUAUUUGCGGUAGCAGUUUCACAGCUGACAGAUGAACAAAGAGUGGCUGCUUGUCAAAUGGGCUUUGGUAGUUUGCUACAAUUGAACCGUGGCAAGCUAAAAAGGAAACUUUGUGGCUAGUUAAUUGAGAUGAUUGAUACUUUGAGGUACAUUUUAGAGUUGAAUGGUAUUAGCUUUCAAACAAGAUCAUCAAAGAAACUCUACCAACUAGGAAAUUUAAACUUAAUCUAUGCUCCGCAAAUUCGAAUAUUCUCUAAUAUGAAACUACUUUUAUGUGUUUUAUUAUUCCUAGCUUUUACCGACUUGGUAACGUUGUUAUGGAAGCACGACAACUAUUAUGUCCGUGUAAUUUUUAUUGUAUCUUUUGUUAUGUCAUGAUAUCGAAGCUUAGUUUUAUGACUCUAACUACUAAGAACUGCAAUUGCAGCAUCUUUUGAAUAUUACAUAUGUGCUUGUAGUAUCUCGACGGAUUAAAACCUGCUAUUUAAGUUCUUCUACCCCUCCCCCCCUUCAUUCUUUCAUUUAUACUUGCUGCACUAUUUACUUCGCACUCUGUAAAGCCAGAUGAAAGCUUGUUCAUUUAUGUUCACUUGCAAUUCAAAAGCACAGUUUAUUUCAACUGUCAAAUUGACAACUUGCACGUAUAGAUUUCAGUCGAAACAAGGUUAUUGGUCGAUCAAGAAAUUGAAUCCAUAUGGCCGUUCCAGCGUUAUUCAACUACCUAAUAUCAAAUAUAUAAAUUAAUUCAACCCACUUCUGUGUCAAAGGCAUGGAACAAAUUAUGAAAGAUUUUUCAGCUAUCAUAAAUUCGAACGAGUGUAGUUUGUAUCCUUUCGAACUUAGACAGAUUUUCCUUCCAUUAACCUUACAGUGUUAGUAAUCCUAUUACUUGUUUUUAAAGCUUGAAUAGUAUACCGAAAUUUUUGGUUUUUGCAACAUAAACUUGUAUGUAAUGUACAUUUUAUAGUUCUUUACAAAUUAAUUGCUGCUAAAAUAAUUGUUUCGACUACUAUAUUUAUUGUUAUAAUAGAUAAACAUUUUCUUGCAACUCAAACAGUUCCAAUGGCAUGAUCUGCAUCCCCCGUUUGCCUCUUGGGCUACGAACCUGCUUAACAGCUGCACCAUCUUGCUCCUUUUCAUCAAACGGCAACUUCGCUGCAGACAAAAAGAGGGGGUACACUGCCCAGGGGCACCAUAAACGCAGCCCAAAAAGAUGAUUUUGUCUUUCCAUGUCUUAGUAUUUUAACCAAAAAUAAUAAUAAUAAUUCUUUACAUCAUCAAUGAUUGCACUUGUAAGCCAGGCAAUAGUUUUUUUAUUAAAUAAAAAAUUAAUGUUAAAUUUUUUUUUUUUUUUUUUUUUUUUUAUCUAGCUAUCAUUGACUUAAUAUUUUGAAUCUUCAUCCAAAGUUAAGGCACAAAACUUUUAUUCUAAAUAAAUAUUCUCAAUAUAAAUUUAUCACUUAAAUAAUAAAUAAUAAGAUUUAACAUUAAUUCUGUCGUUACUGAAAUGAAUUGUAAAUUUUAUAUGACGUGUAAACGUAUCAUUAUGUUCUUGAUAUUUGACAUAUGAAUUAUAAAGCAACAAAUGUAUCAUAUUUUAUUUCGGUAUUGUGCUUCUCCAUAUUUGCUUAAUUCUUUUCGUUGUACUCAUUGCUUCUCUUCCUCUUUUCGUCAACGACAAUGGGUAACCUAAUCUCAACCUUCUUACCAGCAGACUUAUUUGAUCGAAUUUCAAACUGCGUUGGUGAACAAGCAAAAUAUGUAUGGGGUCUCGAAAAAAAUCUUCGGAUCUUGGAGACUGAAUUGCACAAAUUGACUCGAGCAAGGGCCGAUCUGAAGACCAGGGUUGAGGUCGAACAACAACGACCUCGAACCAGACGAACGAACCAGGUCGCAGGGUGGCUUGAAGAUGUGCAAAAUCUGGAAACUGAAUUUGCCGAGCUGGAACGAGUCAGAGCUCAAGAAAUGGAUAGAUUGUGCCUUGGAGGCCUCUGUUCCAAAAACUUCGUUUUAAGCUACAAUUACGGGACUAAGGUGGUCGAGUUGACGGAUCGAGUGAUCAAUUUAAAGAAAGACGGAGAAAAAAUUGAAGUCGUUGUUGAGAAGGCGCCGGAUGGUGCAGCAAUUGAAUUACCUCUUGAUCACACAGUUGUUGGUCAAGAACUAUUACUUGGUCAAGUUUGGAGAUGUAUCACUGAUCAGGAAAAGAACAGGGGAAUUAUCGGCUUGUAUGGUAUAGGGGGAGUCGGCAAAACUACCCUUUUAAAACAAGUCAACAACAACUUCUGCCAUCAACAGCAUAAUUUUGAUGUUGUUAUCUGGGCGGCUGUGUCAACACUUCAAGAUGACAUUGGAAAAAGGAUUGGCUUUUCAGAAGACAGAAACUGGAAGGAAAAAAGUCUUCAAGACAAGGCUGUGGACAUCGCUAGCAUUCUAAGCGGAAAGAAGUUUGUGUUGUUAUUAGAUGAUAUAUGGGAGCCCAUUGAUUUAACACAGCUGGGUGUCCCUCUUCAAAAUCUAAAUGAUGGGUCCAAAAUAGUCUUGACAACUCGUUCAGCUGGGGUUUGCGAUCAAAUGGACGCUGAAAAGGUGGAAGUGUCUAGUUUGGCACAUGAUGAAGCCUGGAAAUUAUUUCAGGAGAUGAUCGAAAGAUCCACUCUUGACAGUCAUACCAGUAUUCCAGGGCUAGCCGAAACCCUGGCAAGAGAGUGUGGUGGGUUGCCGCUAGCGCUUAAAACAGUGGGUCGAGCCAUGAAAAGCCAAAGGAAAGUUGGAGAUUGGAAACGUGCAAUUCACAAAAUGACAACAUCAGCUUCUAAAUUCUCAGGUAUGAAAGAAGAGGUGUUUUCGCGUUUAAAGUUCAGCUAUGAUAGUUUGUCUACGGAUGAACUUCGUUCCUGUCUCCUGUAUUGCUGUUUGUAUCCUGAAGACUACGAAAUUCCUAAAAGGCAAUUGAUUGAUUAUUGGAUUAGUGAAGGAUUUGCGUGUGAUUUUGAUGAUGGAUGCGAUUUUAUUGAUGACCUUCUUCAUGCAUGCUUAUUGGAGGAAGAAGGCGAUGAUCAUGUAAAGACGCACGAUAUGAUUCGUGAGAUGUCAUUAUGGAUAGCGUGCACGGUAGACAAGGAGGAGCAGAACUUUCUGGUUCGCGCUGGAGUUGAAUUGACCGAAGCACCAAAGGUUGAAGAAUGGGAAGGUGCCAAACGGGUAUCUCUGAUGGAAAAUAAAAUUGAAAGCCUAUCGGAAAUUCCCACGUGUCCGCGUCUCGUAACUUUACUGCUGGAUGAAAAUCGGAUUGAGGAGAUCACUGAUGGCUUCUUUCAAUCUAUGUCGUCUCUUAGAGUAUUAAGUCUAAGAGGAAAUUUUCCCCUAAGUACACUACCUUCGGGGAUUUCAGGUUUGGUUUCAUUGCAUCAUCUUGAUCUAUCAUCGACUCACAUAACUGGGUUGCCGCAAGAGCUGAAGGCGUUGGAGAAGUUGAGAUAUUUGAACUUGGACUAUACAGAGUACUUGUCCAUAAUUCCACAUCAAUUGAUAUCUGGCUUUUCAAAGUUGGAGGAACUCAGGUUGUUUGCGUCCGGUCGCUGGGGCGUAAUAGAGGAAGAAGAAGGUAACGUUCUAUGUGAUGAUGCUGAACCUUUGAUGAAGGAAUUGCUGGGUUUGAAGCAUUUAAAUGUUUUAAGCUGGUCCUUCCGAAGUUCACUUGCUGUCCAAAAGUUUUUGAAAUAUCCAAAGCUGGUUAGCAUCACUCAAUCUGUAUGGGUUGAAUGUGGCAUGUAUACAAGGCCACCGUUCAAUGUCUUACAUCUAGCAUAUAUGGAGAAUCUUCAGGAGUUGCGUCUUUCUCAGAGUGAUUUGGAGGAGAUGAAGAUUGACAGCACAGAAGAGGUGAAGAAGCUUUUUCAAAGUGGUUUCCGCAGUCUCGACACAGUUGAUCUAUUUUAUUGCCAAAAAGCGAAGGACUUAACGUGGCUUGUUUUUGUUCAAAACCUCAAGGAGCUGCGUAUAGUGUAUUGUGAAUACGUGGAAGAAAUUAUCGGGGCUGAUAAAUUGAGAGAUAUUUCAGAGAUAGUGGGGUCAGAGCAUAACGUUUUCGCAGAACUCGAAUUUCUAUCCUUAUGGGGGGGAAUAAAUUUAAAGAGCGUUUACCCGAAUCCCCUGCCCUUUCCAAAGUUGAAGAAAAUUCAAGUACUUCAUUGCCGACAGCUGAAGAAGCUCCCACUCAAUUCCAGCAGCGCGAAGUUACGUCGAGCUGUCAUCGAGGGAACGAAAAAGUGGUGGGAAGAGCUACAAUGGGAGGAUCAAGCCACCCAAAAUGCUUUCUCUUCCGGUGCCGUACUUACUGAGUUUCCUUUUUAUUAAUAUGUUUUAAUAUGUAUUUCUUUUUCUUUUCUUUUUUUAAUUUUCAUUAGAUUUAAUUGCAUCUUGUUCUUGUUGUCUGGUGUGUCAAUCGUUCCCUACUUUCAGUUAAUAAAAUUUCAGCAGUGGAUUCUUGGUUUAUUAAUGUUUAUAUAACUGAAUUGUUCAGCAGAUGUACUCUGCACGACUAACACAGAAAUAAACACAGAAAUAAAUAUAUGUAAGGGGUUACAGGACUGACUCUGCUUCUGGCUUCUAAGGAGAAAGAGGGGAAAAUAAACAUUUUAUCUUCCCUUAACUGCUCUCCUUUGGUUUGAAUGUGAACUUAACACUCUUUUAUUAUUAAAAUUUAAUUAUUUGGUUGUAUAAUAUAUUUCUCCAAUAAACGAAGAAUGAUAAAGGAGCAACUAAAAAAACCCAUCAAAAUAUUUCACCAAUGAAAAGAUUCAUGAGAAAUAAACAUUAUAAUCCGAACAAAUAAAUCAAUUAGUCAAUAUAUCAUUUAGCCGAAUUAAAGACGCUGCUUGCGCUUCGUAGUUCUGAGCUUAGAAUCAAGUAGAGAACUGAAUAUGAAAUUUUUAAUUGCUGAGAAUAUGAAUUUGAGGUUGAUGGACGACUUGAAAGAGAGGGACAAGAAAGAAUGAUACAGAGCAGGUGGCUGGCAAAAGGGACCUUAUGACGAUCUUCUUCAGUACAGCUAUGAUGCCGCUUCCACCUUCAAUUGAAUGUCAGAAAAUUCAAAGUUUGUCAAAAGAGGAUGGUAAAUUAAGCUGUUUUUUUUUUUUCUUUUUUGCAAAAUUUACCAAGUGAAUUAAUCCAUUAUUUUAUCUAUCAAUCAGUACACAAUCUACAUUACCCCACGCUAACAAAACACUGACUAUAAAUCUAUGACUAUACAAUGCGCACUUUGGUUACUGCCCCAGCCCUCUUACCCAAAAGAACCACAAAAGCAACGAAAAACUAAAUUGAUUACAUAAUCAAAUCAAGUUCUUCUUAGCUACUGUGAUCGAUUUGUCCAGCACCAUCAGUUAAUUUCUCUAGUUUUCAGCAAAAAUGGUCGAGUUCUUGAGUCUUCUUUGCACGUUUCAUCUCAUUUAUUCUGUCGAUAAAGCUUAUACACAUCAUCCGCAACGACAACAAAUUAAAUUAAUAUGUGUCGAGUUUUGGAGCCAGAGCCAGCGGUGCAAGCGCAAGAGAAAGGGACUUCACACAAGAAUUUGCCAGACCAUGGGCUACAGAAAGGUGCCUCACUUCACGGACGCGGAAUUUGGUUGGCUCCUGGGCCAUUAAGGGUGAAUGCAUCUUUCUUUUUAUGUGAAUUUAAUUAUUGAACCCGGUAUCUUGAAUAAAUAUAAAUUUGACUGUAGCACCAAGUAUCAAUGAUUGCAAAAUGUAAAUUUGACAUAUUGUGUGGUUAAAUCAUCUUGUACUAAUCGUUUAUGUUAAUUUAUGGAGGCCUUAAUGUCCAAGGCAUACGUAAAGGGGUACAGGACUGACUCUGCUUCUGGCUUCUAAGGAGAAUGAGGGGAAAAUUUUAUAAACAUUUGUGGAGUGGCCGUAUAAAGGACGUGUGGUUCUCAAUCCAUUUCACAUUUGGCAUUGUAAUGUUUAUGGACUCAUAUAAAUGAUGUCACACAAAUAGUUAAACGAAGAAGGUGUUUGAUGAAAACGAAAGGGCCUUUUUCUUUUUUUAAAUCCCGCUAAAGGUUAUAAUUAACAACAAAUUAAUAAUAGAAGAGAGAGAAAUACCAAGUUCAAUACGGUAAUAUUUUAUCUUCCUUUUAACUGCUCUCCUUUGGCUUAUAAUGCGACCUUUACACUCGUGGACAAAAUUGUAUUUGUCGCUUAAGUCUUGCUUGUUUUAAAAUGCUGGCAUAUUUAUGGAGUGGGAACCCAGAUGCUGAACUCAUAGUAAAUAUUUAUUUAAUUUGUUAGAAUUAUUUUUGGUGGGAUAAUUUUAAAUAUUAAUUUAACAAGAUAGUGAUGUUUGCCUUGCCCUACAUGGAAAAAAUAAUAAUAAUUAAAGUUUUUUCUGUUCCUUUAUAUUAGUAAUAGAUUUCAGAUGGGAAACAGAAAAUUUAUUUCUGUUUCAAUAAUUACCAUAUCACUGUGUGCGUGCGUGAUCACAUAAUUUUGUACUACCGUCUGUGGAAUAACUUUAGGAAAAGAAAAUUAAUUUUUUUUAAGUAACAAUAAAUAUUUUAAAUUGUUUUCUUCUCUUAUCAAUUGUUUUUUUCUCCUAUCUUCCAAUGAAAGUGCAGGACCUCAAUUAUUUUAAUAGAGAUGUAGUAAUAAAUUAUUAGGGGAUCCAUAAAAUAAAUAUACAUGGUUUCAAAAAAGUUAGCACAUGCUUGUUACAAAUAUAAAAAAUUAUCUUAAAAGUCUCGGAACUUUUGUGUUCUCUUUAAUAUUUUUUUCUUAUGUUGUUAUUGUACUAUAUGGAUACAAGGGUGCGUUUGGUACGUUGUAUUAUAUUAUGUUGUAUUGCAUUAUUUUAAUAUAGGUAUAUUACAUUAUGUUGUGUUGUAUUAGUAAUGUAUUAUAAUAAUGUUGUACAAUGUUUGGUACUAUACUGUAUUGUAUUAAUUUUUAAUUAAUAUUAUUCAAAUGUAUUCAUAUUUAAAUAUUUAUUAUUAGUUAUAUUAAAUUAUUUAAAAAUAACUAGUUUAAUUAUUUUAAUAUAAUUAAAUAAUAUUAUAAUAUAUUAUAUUAUUUAAGUAUUUAUUAUUAGUUAUAUUAACUUAUUAAAAAUUAAUCAAUUAUAUAUAUUAAUUAAUAUAAUUUUACAUAUUAAUUAAUAUAAUAUAAUUAAAUAAUACAUUUUUUAGUUGUACAUUUACUAUAAUAAAAAUUAAAAUAUAAUAUAAUAUUAAAUUAAAAAUUAUAUUCAUUUAUUAUUAUUACAAAGUAUAAAAAAAAAAAAAAAAGGAAGCUAAAGCUAAUGCGGUAACUGGACACAUUAGCUAAACCCGACUAUAACAUAUGUCGGGUUUAGCUAAUACAACCAUUUGGUACCUCAGACAUGGUGCUGCAUUGCUAAUGCAAUGUAAUCCCAGGUAAAGAGGGGUACCAGACAACCCCCAAGUUCACUUAAUGUAACAUAACAUACUUUUUUUUUCUAUAUAUAUAUAUACACUACGUGGAAGUGAGCUCCUUAAGGUGAGAUUUAGCAAAAUUAUAAAUUAUUACAGCAUGAAAUUUAUUUUUAUUUAUAAUUGGCCUAAUAUAAAUUAGGACCAGUACUUUUAUAGCUAUAUGAAAUUAUUUUUAUAUAAAAUAUCACUACAUAAAUGUUUUAUUACAAUAUUAAUCUCUUUUUUUUAUUGUAUUUAUCUCUUCAUAAUCUUUUCCUUUUUAUAAAAAAAAAAAAUCAACUAAAAGAUUCAUCAACAUCUCAUUCCAACAAUCUACUAGCGAAAAUGAGUGUCCAUGCUUUUGAACCAAGGCCCGAUAUGUGAGGGAGAGAUUGUUGGGUUGUCUUACAUCGGUUGUGAACUAGGAUGGUGGUGAUUUUACAAGUGUGAGGGAAAGUCUCACCCCUUAUCCAUCUUUUGGGUUGGGAUUGAAUGAGACCCAAAACCGCUUAACAUGAAUUCUAUCACUGGGAUUUUUACCCAGUAUAACAAACAUAACAACACAAUGAAUUAUCAAUUUAUCACGUAAUGGCUCUAACUUUAGCGAUGAUCACCUUACAUGAACAUGAAAAUUAAUCCCAUUGUUUAACUCAACAAUGACGAUAAUCACUUAAACUCUUAUGCACCAAAGGAUAUACUCGCUACAGGGAAUCUUAACUCAUAAAGAUUAAUUUUAGUGGGGGGCAAAAGAGCACGAGUGAUCCAAACCACUAAACAACAUCAUAACCAACACAAAAUUUAUACUAAACAAACCAUUACCAAAACAGCAAAGCUAGACAUAAAUUUGAACAGAUACACAAGCUACAUUCAUUACCAUAAUGUAUCGACUAAAUUUCCAAGCUCUACAUUUUGAACAAAGAAUUUAUAAAAUUACAUAAUCUAAUAAAUUAAUAUAGAAAUAAAAUUGGCAUCAGAUCAAAUUACUAUUAAUGUACCUUGCAUAAACCAUUCUCUUCUAUCGGCAUUCACCUCCGCGCUCGAUUGGCUCUCCUGUGCUGCUUGUCUAAUUGAUUCAAAUCCACAUAGACAAAUUUAAGCAUAUUAAGUUUUCAAACUCAAAUCAACAGCUUUAAAAGUUACUUCACAAACAAUGAAUUUCAUUUUCGAAAUACAAAGAAUCCGUUCAGUUUAAAACAAUAAAAAAUCGUCUACGACUACUCAACUCAUGUAUGAUAACUAAAAAACGAAGGAUACCCACAAAAAUUAAAGAUAAAUUACCAAAAACCCAAAAAACUCAAGCCAAAAUUGCCAAAAAAAAAGCGAGAGAAUGGAAAUUGGCGUACCAGGGGCAGGAGAGAGGAAACGAGAAGAGGAAGAAAGAAGGGUUUUGGAGAGAGUGGGAAUUAGUGGAGGCAAAAAUGGAGAGUUUUGAGAGUGAGAUGAUUGGUGGGGUGGUGAUGGCGGUGGUGGGGUUAAUGUUCUGGAGGGUAUGCUGAAGAGAGGUCGCAAGAGAACCUCCAUAGCCUUUAAAGAGAGUUGAGUUGCUGCUUUCUUUUGCCGUGGAUGGAGAGAGAUUAAGGGAUUAGAAUUCUGUAUUGAAUUAAUUUUUUAUUAAAUAAAAAAUUAUUGUUAAAAUUUAUUUUAUUUUAAUUUUUUAUCUAGCUAUCAUUGACUUAAUAUUUUGAAUCUUUAUCCAAAGUUAAGGCACAAAAUUUUUAUUCUAAAUAAAUAUUCUCAAUAUAAAUAUAUCACUUAAAUAAUAAUGAUAAGAUUUAAUAUUAAUUCUGUCAUUACUGAAAGAAUUACAAAUUUUAUAUGACGUGCAAACGUAUCAUUAUAUUCUUGAUAUUUGAAACAUGAAUAAAGCAACAAAUGUAUCAUAUUUUUAUUUUGGUGUUGUGGUUCUCUAAAAAUUGUUGAAAGCAGCAGCUGUGAAGAGUCAACGGUUGACCUUGAUUCUGUGAGUUGGAUUUGUUGAGCUGGCAAAACUGUUAUGUUGAAGAAUAGCAGCGCAUGUGCAUUGAAUAGUUGCAUCUUCUAGAAGCUUAAUGUGAUUGGUUCACAAUUGCUAUAUUCACGGAUCAAUUUUGAUUACUUCCGUGUAAUACCCCUUAGGCUAGCUGUCAUUAUUUUUUGUCUCUGUAUGUAAACUAGCAAAGCUCUGUAUUUCAUUUUCAUUCAAGUCAUCAUUAUCAAUAAAGACCUGAUUCUCAUACUCUGUUUGCAUUUGACAGCAAUUCUUAAGAAUUUAAGUAAAAAUUAGCUUAAUUCUUUUCAUUGUACUCGUUGCUUCUCUUCCUCUUUUCGCCAACGACAAUGGGUAACCUAAUCUCAACCUUCUUACCAGCAGACUUAUUUGAUCGAACUUCAAACUGCGUUGGUGAACAAGCAAAUUAUGUAUGGGGUCUCGAAAAAAACCUUCGGGUCUUGGAGACUGAAUUGCACAAAUUGACUCGAGCAAGGGACGAUCUGAAGACCAAGGUUGAGGUCGAAGAACAGCGACGUCGAACCAGACGAACGAACCAGGUCGCAGGGUGGCUUGAAGAUGUGCAAAAACUGGAAACUGAAUUUACCGAGCUGGAACGAGUUAGAGCUCAUGAAAUCGAUAGAUUGUGCCUUGGAGGCCUCUGUUCCAAAAACUUCGUUUCAAGCUACAAUUACGGGACUCAGGUGGUCGAGUUGACGGAUCGAGUGAUCAAUUUAAAGAAAGACGGAGAAAAAAUUGAAGUCGUUGUUGAGAAGGCGCCAGAUGGUGCAGCAAUUGAAUUACCUCUUGAUCACACAGUUGUUGGUCAAGAACUAUUACUUGAUCAAGUUUGGAGAUGUAUCACUGAUCAGGAAAAUAAUAGGGAAAUUAUCGGCCUGUAUGGUAUCGGGGGAGCCGGCAAAACUACCCUUUUAAAACAAGUCAACAACAACUUCUGCCAUCAACAGCAUAAUUUUGAUGUUGUUAUCUGGGCGGCUGCGUCAACACUUCAAGAUGACAUUGGAAAAAGGAUUGGCUUUUCAGAAGACCAAAGCUGGGAGAAAAAAAGUCCUCAAGACAAGGCUGUGGACAUCGCUAGCAUUUUAAGCAGAAGGAAGUUUGUGUUGUUAUUGGAUGAUAUAUGGAAACCCAUUCAUUUAACAGAAUUGGGUGUCCCUCUUCAAAAACUAAAUGAUGGGUCCAAAGUAGUCUUGACAACUCGUUCAGCUGGUGUUUGCGAUCAAAUGGACGCUGAAAAGGUGGAAGUGUAUAGUUUGGCGCAUGAUAAAGCCUGGGAAUUAUUUCAGGAGAUGGUCGACAGAUCCACUCUUGACAGUCAUACCGGUAUUCCAGAGCUAGCCGAAACCUUGGCAAGAGAGUGUGGUGGGUUGCCGCUAGCGCUUAAAACAGUGGGUCGAGCCAUGAAAAGCCAAAGGAAAGUUGGAGAUUGGAAACGUGCAAUUCACAAAAUGAGAACAUCAGCUUCUAAAUUCUCAGGUAUGAAAGAAGAGGUGUUUUCGCGUUUAAAGUUCAGCUAUGAUAGUUUGUCUACGGAUGAACUUCGUUCCUGUCUCCUGUAUUGUUGUUUAUAUCCUGAAGACUACGAAAUUCCUAAAAGGGAAUUGAUUGAUUAUUGGAUUAGUGAAGGAUUUGUAUAUGAUUUUGAUGAUGGAUGUGAUUUUAUUGAUGACCUUCUUCAAGCAUGCUUAUUGGAGGAAGAAGGCGAUGAUCAUGUAAAGAUGCACGAUAUGAUUCGUGAGAUGUCAUUAUGGAUAGCGUGCACGGUAGACAAGGAGGAGGAGAACUUUCUGGUUCGCGCUGGAGUUGAAUUGACCGAAGCACCAAAGUUUGAAGAAUGGGAAGGUGCCAAACGGGUAUCUCUGAUGGGAAAUGGAAUUAGGAGCUUAUCGGAAAUUCCCACGUGUCCGCGCCUCUUAACUUUACUUCUGGGUGGAAAUCGGAUUGAGGAGAUUACUGAUGGCUUCUUUCAAUCGAUGUCUUCUCUUAGAGUAUUAAGUCUAAGAGGAAAUUUUCCCCUAAGAACACUACCUUCAGGGAUUUCAGGUUUGGUUUCAUUACAUCAUCUUGAUCUAUCAUCGACUAACAUAACUGGGUUGCCGCAAGAGCUGAAGGCGUUGGAGAAGUUGAGAUAUUUGAACUUGGACUAUACACGGUUUUUGUCUAUAAUUCCACAUCAAUUGAUAUCUGGUUUUUCAAAGUUGGAGGUACUCAGGUUGCUUUCACGCGGUCGCUGGAGCGUAAUAGAAGGUAACGUUCUAUGUGAUGAUGCUGAACCUUUGAUGAAGGAAUUGCUGGGUUUGAAGCAUUUAAAUGUUUUAAGCUGGACCUUCCGAAGUUCACUUGCUGUCCAAAAGUUUUUGAAAUAUCCAAAGCUGGUGAGCAUCACUCAAUCUGUAAUGGUUUGCCAAUGUGAAAGUCCACCGUUCAAUGUCUUACAUCUAGCAUACAUGGAGAAUCUUCAGGAGUUACGCAUUUCAGACAGUAAUUUGGAAGAGAUGAAGACUGACAGCACAGAAGAGGUAAAGAAACUUUUUCAAAGUGGUUUCCGCAGUCUCGACAGAGUUGUCAUAUGGAGUUGCCAAAAAAUGAAAGACUUAACGUGGCUAGUUUUUGUUCAAAUUCUCAAGCAGCUGCGUAUAGUCUUUUGUACAGAAAUGGAAGAAAUAAUUAGUGUUGAUAAAUUGAGAGAUAUUUCGAAGAUAAUCGGGUCAGAGCAUAACUUUUUUGCACAACUCGAAUCUCUAACCAUAAAGUGGGGAAGAAAUUUAAAGAGCGUUUACCCGAAUCCCCUGCCCUUUCCAAAGCUGAAGAAAAUUGAAGUACGUGAAUGCCCACAGCUGAAGAAGCUCCCACUCAAUUCCAGCAGCGCGAAGGAACGUCGAGUUGUCAUCGAGGGGUCGAAAAAAUGGUGGGAAGAGCUACAAUGGGAGGACCAAGCCACCCAAAAUGCUUUCUCUUCCGGUGUCGUACUUGGGGAUGAUUUUCAUUAAUAUGUUUGAAUAUGUAUUUCUUUUCUUUUUCUUUUUUUUUUUAAUUUUCAUUAGAUUUAAUUGCAUCUUGUUGUUGUUGUCUGGUGUGUCAAUCGUUAUCUAUUUUCAGUUAAUAAAAUUUCAGCAGUGGAUUCUUGGUUUUAGAAUCCUCCCACUGGAAAGAAUUUCUCCUUUGGCUUGAAUGCGACCUUUUUACUCGUCGACAAAAUUGUAUUUGUCGCUUAAGUCUUGUUUGUUUUAAAAUGCUGGCAUAUUUAUAGAGUGGGAACUCAGAUGCUGAACUCAUAGUAAAUAUUUAUUUAAUUUGUUAUAAUUAUAUUUGGUGAGAUAUUUAUUCAAUAAUUGCCCUAUCACUUUGUGCAUGAUCACAGAAUUUUGUACUUCCGUCUGUGAAAUAACUUUUGGAAAAGGAAAUUAAUUUUUUUAAGUAACGGUAAAUAUUUUAAAUUUUUAUUUUAAAUUUUAUUUUAAAUAAUAUAGUAUGUAAUGUGUCAUUUAUUUAGUGAUUGAUAAUUUAAUAUAGGAUUUAAAUAAAUUAAUUAUGCUAUUUUAUUAUUUAAUUAAUAAAUAUUAUAUAAUUUAAAAUAGAUUUUUGAGAUAAAAAUUAUAAAAGUAAAAUUCUACUCAACAGACUAAAUUUAAAAUGAUGUGAUUGGCAGGUAAGACUUAAGAAUUAGACAAAAUUUCUCAUUCAACAGCUUGUAGAAAAUUUAUACACUAGGCCUUAGCUAAACUUGGACUUGUCGUAUGUUUGAAGUAUUCGACGAUAAUCAUAUCUGCAUUUUGUGAAAUAAUUAAGAUUUUUUAUUUUUGGUUUGUUUAGGGCUUUUCAUCGGUCUUCGUCUUGGUCUUUGUCCUGGUCUUGGCGUCUUGCUAUCAAAUCAAGUGUUCUCUUCUCCCAUCCUCUAAUGAAAGUGCAGGGCCUCAAUUAUUUGUGCUGAGCUGUUUGUUACUGCUAUCACUUUAGAGGUUGAUGCUAAUGUCCAAAGGUCACAUUUAAUUUGCUUGAAUGCGACCUUUAUUUUGGUUGACAAAGAUUAUUUGGUUGCAAAGAUUAUAAUUAACAACAAGCUAAUAUCUAUAUAGUAGAGAGAGAAAUAACAAAUUCAAUGUUGGUAAAAUUUUAUCUUCCCUUCACUGCUCUCCUUUGCUGCAAUCAAGCUACAGUUGUAAAGUGUUUGAUAAACACUAAUUGUUGUGUCUUGAAAGAUAUGUUGAUAUAAUUUUUCACUUGUAUAAUAGAGAAUCUAUUAUGUUAUUAUUAAUAAUUUCGUCAAAAUUAUUAUUUAAAAUUUUAUAUUUAAUAAAUAUUAUUAACUUUUGUUUUAUAGUUACAAUUUUUUUUUUUUUUACAACAACUGUUGCUUAAAAAUUAUAACACUUCAAUUCCAAACAUACCUUAAGUCUAUAAGGCAUAAGUUUUCACUCUUCAGAAAGGUGUUUGAUGGAAAUGUAAAGAAGUUCGAUGAAAUGUCUCACCUACACAACCAAGCCACUUAACAUUGCAGUCUUAUAAUACGAAUUCCUGCCUUCUCUUCCAUUUUCACAAACAUAAUUCUUUCUUUCUCACUUUAUUUUCUUCCUUGAAAUUUUUGUUAACAAAAAUGGGUAACAUCAUUCUCAUGCGUGCUUCUUAUCACCAGACUCAAUUCUUGCAGUUUUAUUUUAUUUUAUUUUAUUUUUCCUUCGUGGAGAUGCUAAAAUAUAUAUGAGAUCUAAAAAGCUAAUCUUGAUGAGUUGCAGAAUCCAAUGCAGAAUUUGAAAGUUACAAAAGAUUAUAAAUACUAUUUUAACUUGUAAGCUUCCAUUGCUAUACAGUGAGGUAUGUCUAGAUAUCAUUUUGGUCUUUUAUAUAUUGGGUUCCAGUGAAAGACUUUUGUUCUAGUUGAAUUUAAUUUUGUCUUUGUAUUUACAGACAAACUAUUAGGGACAUUUAUCAUACAUAUUUGGCUAGUUCGCCGUGGAAAAAUAAUAAUAGUUGAAAAGACAUAGGGUACUUUUUAUUUUCCUUUAUAUUACUAAUAGAUUUCCCACGCGCAACAGACGAAGUCAUUGCUGCUUCAAUAAUUGCCCUAUCACUGUGUUCAUCAUCACAAAUUUCUUUAUUACGUUUGUGAAAUAACCUUAGCAUAACAAAAUUACUCCUCCUUUUUAACUAAUAAUAGAUAUCUCAAAUUUUAUUUUCAGAAUAUGGUAUGUAAUGUAAGUGAUUGAUAGUUCUUUAUAAAAUAUAUAAAUAAAUUAAUAGUGUUUUCUUAGUGUCUAAUAUAUAUAAAUCACUUGCUCCAUAUAUUGCACUAUUGAUAUGGGCUAAAGUUUUAUACUAUGAGACCCAAUUUCUAUAAUUUACACUAUAAGUUACAAGUAUUUAGGAAAAUACUAUUGCAAAUCAGAAGGUAUUAUCUAUUUUAUACCUAAAGCAUUUCACUAUUUAAGACUAGUAAAACUUCUAUAUUAUUAUAAUAUUUGAAUCAAACACCAAUAAGCGAGUAAAUCAGGUGGAAUGAGAAUGUUCUAACUUAACCAAGGUCCUCGGUUUGAAACUUAGAAAUGCAACUACAUUAAAUACUUAUUGGGAGAGAUUUGCCGCUUUAGUGGUCCUAUCCCGCUUGAAUCUAGAUUAGUCGGGGAUCUAAUGUGGUCUUUGGAUACUAGAUGAUUUAAAAUACCGAUAAUAUUGGAACCAAACUAAUUUACAAUUAUGAAGAUGUUAUAAUUUAAUAGAGGCAUAGUAACAAACUAUUAAUAGAGCGUAUAAAAUUUAAUGUAUAAACAAAAUUCUAUAAUUUACACUAUAAGUUGCAAGUAUUUAGGUCAAUACUAUUGCAAAUCAGAAGAUAUUAUCUAUUUUAUGCCGAAAAUAUUUCCACUAUUUAAGGAUAGUAAAACUUCUAUAUAAUUAUAAUAUUGGAACCAAACACCAACAAGCGAGUAAAUCAACUAGAAUGGAAAUGUUCUAACGUCAAGGUCCUCGGUUCAAAACUUAGAAAUGCAACUACAUUAAAUAUUUAUUGGGAGAGAUUUGCCGCUCUAGUAGUUCUAUCCGGGUCGAAUCUGGAUUAGUCGGGAAUCUAAUGUGGUCUUUGGAUACUAGAUGAUUUAAUGUACCAAUAAUAUUGGAACCAAACUAAUUUACAAUUAUGAGGAGGUUAUAAUUUAAUAGAGGCGUAGUAACAAACUAUUAAUAGAGUGUAUCAAAUUUAAUAUUGGAAUCCGAUGAUUGGUUGCAACAUAAGAUAUUUGUAAGCUUAGUUAAAGGUUCAUUAAAAAUUAUAGAGAUAUAUAAUUUCGCAGUCGAUGAAGCCGUGCAUGAGGUUAAGGCAAGUGAUGGAAUGACUUGCGUUACAAAAGAGGUAUGUGAAGUUGCACUAUAAAAAUAAAAUAAAUUUGUAUUUUCAAGUAGUGAAGGUGUAGUUAGUUUAUUUGCGGUAGCAGUUUCACAGCUGACAGAUGAACAAAGAGUGGUUGCUUGUCAAAUGGGCUUUGGUAGUUUGCGACAACUGAACCUUGGCAAGCUAAAAAGGAAACUUUGUGGCUAGUUAAUUGAGAUGAUUGAUACUUUGAGGUACAUUUUAGAGUUGAAUGGUAUUAGCUUUCAAACAAGAUCAUCAAAGAAACUCUACCAACUAGGAAAUUUAAACUUAAUCUAUGCUCCGCAAAUUCGAAUAUUCUCUAAUAUGAAACUACUUUUAUGUGUUUUAUUAUUCCUAGCUUUUACCGACUUGGUAACGUUGUUAUGGAAGCACGACAACUAUUAUGUCCGUGUAAUUUUUAUUGUAUCUUUUGUUAUGUCAUGAUAUCGAAGCUUAGUUUUAUGACUCUAACUACUAAGAACUGCAAUUGCAGCAUCUUUUGAAUAUUACAUAUGUGCUUGUAGUAUCUCGACGGAUUAAAACCUGCUAUUUAAGUUCUUCUACCCCCUCCCCCCCUUCAUUCUUUCAUUUAUACUUGCUGCACUAUUUACUUCGCACUCUGUAAAGCCAGAUGAAAGCUUGUUCAUUUAUGUUCACUUGCAAUUCAAAAGCACAGUUUAUUUCAACUGUCAAAUUGACAACUUGCACGUAUAGAUUUCAGUCGAAACAAGGUUAUUGGUCGAUCAAGAAAUUGAAUCCAUAUGGCCGUUCCAGCGUUAUUCAACUACCUAAUAUCAAAUAUAUAAAUUAAUUCAACCCACUUCUGUGUCAAAGGCAUGGAACAAAUUAUGAAAGAUUUUUCAGCUAUCAUAAAUUCGAACGAGUGUAGUUUGUAUCCUUUCGAACUUAGACAGAUUUUCCUUCCAUUAACCUUAUAGUGUUAGUAAUCCUAUUACUUGUUUUUAAAGCUUGAAUAGUAUACCGAAAUUUUUGGUUUUUGCAACAUAAACUUGUAUGUAAUGUACAUUUUAUAGUUCUUUACAAAUUAAUUGCUGCUAAAAUAAUUGUUUCGACUACUAUAUUUAUUGUUAUAAUAGAUAAACAUUUUCUUGCAACUCAAACAGUUCCAAUGGCAUGAUCUGCAUCCCCCGUUUGCCUCUUGGGCUACGAACCUGCUUAACAGCUGCACCAUCUUGCUCCUUUUCAUCAAACGGCAACUUCGCUGCAGACAAAAAGAGGGGGUACACUGCCCAGGGGCACCAUAAACGCAGCCCAAAAAGAUGAUUUUGUCUUUCCAUGUCUUAGUAUUUUAACCAAAAAUAAUAAUAAUAAUUCUUUACAUCAUCAAUGAUUGCACUUGUAAGCCAGGCAAUAGUUUUUUUAUUAAAUAAAAAAUUAAUGUUAAAUUUUUUUUUUUUUUUUUUUUUUUUUUAUCUAGCUAUCAUUGACUUAAUAUUUUGAAUCUUCAUCCAAAGUUAAGGCACAAAACUUUUAUUCUAAAUAAAUAUUCUCAAUAUAAAUUUAUCACUUAAAUAAUAAAUAAUAAGAUUUAACAUUAAUUCUGUCGUUACUGAAAUGAAUUGUAAAUUUUAUAUGACGUGUAAACGUAUCAUUAUGUUCUUGAUAUUUGACAUAUGAAUUAUAAAGCAACAAAUGUAUCAUAUUUUUAUUUCGGUAUUGUGCUUCUCCAUAUUUGCUUAAUUCUUUUCGUUGUACUCAUUGCUUCUCUUCCUCUUUUCGUCAACGACAAUGGGUAACCUAAUCUCAACCUUCUUACCAGCAGACUUAUUUGAUCGAAUUUCAAACUGCGUUGGUGAACAAGCAAAAUAUGUAUGGGGUCUCGAAAAAAAUCUUCGGAUCUUGGAGACUGAAUUGCACAAAUUGACUCGAGCAAGGGCCGAUCUGAAGACCAGGGUUGAGGUCGAACAACAACGACCUCGAACCAGACGAACGAACCAGGUCGCAGGGUGGCUUGAAGAUGUGCAAAAUCUGGAAACUGAAUUUGCCGAGCUGGAACGAGUCAGAGCUCAAGAAAUGGAUAGAUUGUGCCUUGGAGGCCUCUGUUCCAAAAACUUCGUUUUAAGCUACAAUUACGGGACUAAGGUGGUCGAGUUGACGGAUCGAGUGAUCAAUUUAAAGAAAGACGGAGAAAAAAUUGAAGUCGUUGUUGAGAAGGCGCCGGAUGGUGCAGCAAUUGAAUUACCUCUUGAUCACACAGUUGUUGGUCAAGAACUAUUACUUGGUCAAGUUUGGAGAUGUAUCACUGAUCAGGAAAAUAACAGGGGAAUUAUCGGCUUGUAUGGUAUAGGGGGAGUCGGCAAAACUACCCUUUUAAAACAAGUCAACAACAACUUCUGCCAUCAACAGCAUAAUUUUGAUGUUGUUAUCUGGGCGGCUGUGUCAACACUUCAAGAUGACAUUGGAAAAAGGAUUGGCUUUUCAGAAGACAGAAACUGGAAGGAAAAAAGUCUUCAAGACAAGGCUGUGGACAUCGCUAGCAUUCUAAGCGGAAAGAAGUUUGUGUUGUUAUUAGAUGAUAUAUGGGAGCCCAUUGAUUUAACACAGCUGGGUGUCCCUCUUCAAAAUCUAAAUGAUGGGUCCAAAAUAGUCUUGACAACUCGUUCAGCUGGGGUUUGCGAUCAAAUGGACGCUGAAAAGGUGGAAGUGUCUAGUUUGGCACAUGAUGAAGCCUGGAAAUUAUUUCAGGAGAUGAUCGAAAGAUCCACUCUUGACAGUCAUACCAGUAUUCCAGGGCUAGCCGAAACCCUGGCAAGAGAGUGUGGUGGGUUGCCGCUAGCGCUUAAAACAGUGGGUCGAGCCAUGAAAAGCCAAAGGAAAGUUGGAGAUUGGAAACGUGCAAUUCACAAAAUGACAACAUCAGCUUCUAAAUUCUCAGGUAUGAAAGAAGAGGUGUUUUCGCGUUUAAAGUUCAGCUAUGAUAGUUUGUCUACGGACGAACUUCGUUCCUGUCUCCUGUAUUGUUGUUUAUAUCCUGAAGACUACGAAAUUCCUAAAAGGGAAUUGAUUGAUUACUGGAUUAGUGAAGGAUUUGUGUAUGAUUUUGAUGAUGGAUGCGAUUUUAUUGAUGACCUUCUUCAAGCAUGCUUAUUGGAGGAAGAAGGCGAUGAUCAUGUAAAGAUGCACGAUAUGAUUCGUGAGAUGUCAUUAUGGAUAGCGUGCACGGUAGACAAGGAGGAGCAGAGCUUUUUGGUUCGCGCUGGAGUUAAAUUGACCGAAGCACCAAAGGUUGAAGAAUGGGAAGGUGCCAAACGGGUAUCUCUGAUGGCAACUGGAAUUGAAUGCCUAUCGGAAAUUCCCACGUGUCGACGUCUGAUAACUUUACUUCUGGAUGAAAAUCGGAUUGAGGAGAUUACUGAUGGCUUCUUUCAAUCUAUGUCGACUCUUAGAGUAUUAAGUCUACGAAGAAAUACUUCCCUAAGUAAACUACCUUCGGGGAUUUCAAGUUUGGUUUCAUUGCAUCAUCUUGAUCUAUCAUGGACUGAGAUAACUGGGUUGCCGCAAGAGCUGAAGGCGUUGGAGAAGUUGAGAUAUUUGAACUUGGAGAAUGUAUUUGAGUUGUCUGUAAUUCCACAUCAAUUGAUAUCUGGCUUUUCAAAGUUGGAGGUACUCAGGUUGUUUGGGUCCGUUGGUAGGGGUGUAACAGAAGAAGAAGAAGAAGGUAACGUUCUAUGUGAUGAUGCUGAACCUUUGAUGAAGGAAUUGCUGGGUUUGAAGCAUUUAAAUGUUUUAAGCUGGUCCUUCCGAAGUUCACUUGCUGUCCAAAAGUUUUUGAAAUAUCCAAAGCUGGUUAGCAUCACUCAAUCUGUAUGGGUUGAAUGUGGCAUGUAUACAAGGCCACCGUUCAAUGUCUUACAUCUAGCAUAUAUGGAGAAUCUUCAGGAGUUGCGUCUUUCUCAGAGUGAUUUGGAGGAGAUGAAGAUUGACAGCACAGAAGAGGUGAAGAAGCUUUUUCAAAGUGGUUUCCGCAGUCUCAACACAGUUGAUGUAUUUUAUUGCCAAAAAGCGAAGGACUUAACGUGGCUUGUUUUUGUUCAAAACCUCAAGGAGCUAUUUAUACAGUUUUGUAUUGAUGUGGAAGAAAUAAUCAGCGUUGAUAAAUUGGGAUAUAUUUCAGAGAUAAUCGGGUCAGAGCAUAACUUUUUCGCACAACUCGAAUCUCUAACCAUAUGGAUGGGAAUAAAUUUAAAGAGCGUUUACCCGAAUCCCCUGCCCUUUCCAAAGCUGAAGAAAAUUGAAGUACGUGUAUGCCCACAGCUGAAGAAGCUCCCACUCAAUUCCAGCAGCGCGAAGGAACGUCGAGUUGUCAUCCGGGGAGAGAAAGAAUGGUGGGAAGAGCUACAAUGGGAGGAUCAAGCCACCCAAAAUGCUUUCUCUUCCGGUGUCAUACUUACUGAGGAUCCUGUUUAUUAAUAUGUUUGAAUAUGUAUUUCUUUUUUUUUUUUUUUAAUUUUCAUUAGAUUUAAUUGCAUCUUGUUCUUGUUGUCUGGUGUGUCAAUCGUUCCCUACUUUCAGUUAAUAAAAUUUCAGCAGUGGAUUCUUGGUUUAUUAAUGUUUAUAUAACUGAAUUGUUCAGCAGAUGUACUCUGCAUAUGUACUCUGCACAACUAACACAGAAAUAAAUAUAUGUAAGGGGGUACAGGACUGACUCUGCUUCUGGCUUCUAAGGAGAAAGAGGGGAAAAUAAACAUUUUAUCUUCCCUUAACUGCUCUCCUUUGGUUUGAAAUAUGUGACCUUUAUACUCGUCGAUAAAAUUGUAUUUGUCGCUUUAAGUCUUGUUUGUUUUAAAUCCUAGCAUAUGUAAUUAUGUAUGGAGUGGGAACUGAGAUGAUGAUGAAAGAUAAGUAAACAUUAAUUGAAUCUGUUAUAAUUUUAAUAUUAAUUUAACAAGAAAGUGAUAUUAAUUUGCCUGGCCCAUAUGAAAAACAAUUAUAAUUAAAGCUUUUUCUUUUUCUUUAAUUAGUAAUAGAUUUCGGAUAUAAAGCAGACAAAUUUAAUUUCUGCUUCAAUAACUACCCUAUCACUGUGUGCGUGAUCACAUAAUUUUGGACUACCGCUUGUGGAAUAACUUUAGAAAAAGAAAAUUAAUUUUUUUAAGUAACGAUAAAUAUUUUAAAUUUUAUUUUAACUAAAUUUGAAAUGAUGUGAUUGGCAGGUAAGACUUAAGAAUUAGACAAAUUUUCUCAUUCCACAGCUUGUAGAAAAUUGAUACCCCAGGCCUUAUCUAAACUUGGACUUAUCGCCUGCGGUAAAGCAUGAGUCAUGUUUCCAUGUAUGUUUGAAAUAUUGGACGAUAAUCACAACGGCAUUUUGUGAAAUAAUUAAAGUUUUUUUUUCUUCUCCUAUCUUCCAAUGAAAGUGCAGGACCUCAAUUAUUUUAAUAGAGAUGUAGUAAUAAAUUAUUAAUGAAACAUAUCAAAUCCAAUGUAUAGAUAAUAAUAAAAUAAAUAUACAUGGUUUCAAAAAAGCUAGUACAUGUUUCUAUAUAAAAAAAAUUAUCUUAAAAGUUUUUGAACUUUUGUGUUCUCUUUAAUAUUUUUCUCUUAUUUUGUUAUCGUAAUAUAUGGGUACAAGUUCACUUAAUGUAACAUAACAUACUUUUUUUGCUACACACACACACACACACACACACACAAUGUCAUAAUUAUUUUUUUUUAAAAAAAUCAAAUGCCACAACUUAUAUCUUAAUUACCUAAGCCCUAAAGUAACAACAAAAUGAAAGGAGUGGGCCUUUUGACACCCCCUCUAAGAUCCUCCUUUAAAUUCCUUAUAACUCUUUAAUUAAAAUUACUUAAAUAAUUAAAGAUAAAUUAAUUCCAUUUUUAUUUUAGUUGAAAAUUUAAUUAAUACUUAAAUAAAAUUAUUCUUUUAACAUUUUUUCCACCCACCUCAUUUCAUAUAUAUAUAAUUUUUAGAAACUUUUAAUAAUUUAUAAUUCUUUUAAGGUGAAAUUUAAUGAGAAGAUUAUUAAUUUUAAUUUAUAGAUUAGUAUUUUAUAAAUUAAACCAAGGUACUUUGAUAAAUAAAAAUUAAAACAAGUUUUAUAAGGAUUUUGGAGUGUAGGAAUUCAGAAUAUAGAUUUUCAUGUGGACGUUGAAUAUGCUGAAGCUGAAGCUAUGAAUUUUAGAAUAAAAAUGGCAAUAGACUUUGGUUUAACGCCAUUAAUUGUUGAAUCAGUUUCGAAGACUAUUUUAAACUUGGCGAAAGGUUUUGAAAGAAGUAUGAAAGAAAUAUCAUGGUUAAUUUUCGAGAUUCGAAAUUGUAUGGUUGUGAAAGACUACUUCAAAAUCAAUCUUAUAUUGAGAAAUAGUAGUGAGACCACUCAUAAAUUAGAUAAAUAUGAUGUUAACAAUUCGGGCUGUGUAAUUUGGUUGGAGGAAAUUUCAACUCAUGUAAGUCUUUUUCCUUUCAGUGAUUAAUUGAAGCUUUCCAUUUCCAAAGAGAGAUAGAGAGAGAGAGAGCUCAACUCAAAUGAAAGUAUGAAACAAAGAGUAAAUCCUGAUAGCAGAAAAAUGAGCCAUGAGUAGAAUUAUUCGCACCUUUGAAAGCCCUCAUAAAAGUCUUUAUUCAAUAUGUCCUGCUAAAUCAUUCAAAAAAUAAUAUUAUUUCUAAGGGCAGAGCUAUUUGCACUCUAAAAAUUAUUGUCAACACUUUAUUAUUAUACACACUCAUUUAUUAAUUUGAAAAAAUGAAUUAUACUUUGUACACUCCUUAAAGUACUAAAAAUGUACUCAUUUAAUCCUUUUUAAAUUAAUUUACUCUAACACACUCAUGAAAACGCCUUACAUACUCAAAAAAUUUCUCUAAACACUCUUUUAUUAUUAAAAUUUAAUUAUUUGGUUGUAUAAUAUAUUUCUCCAAUAAACGAAGAAUGAUACAGGAGCAACUAAAAAAACCCAUCAAAAUAUUUCACCAAUGAAAAGAUCGUGAGAAAUAAACAUUAUAAUCCGAACAAAUAAAUCAAUUAGCCAAUAUAUCAUUUAGCCAAAUCAAAGAUGUUGCUUGCGCUUCGUAGUUCUGAGCUUAGAAUCAAGUAGAGAAGUGAAGAUGAAAUUUUUAAUUGCUGAGAAUAUGAUUUUGAGGUUGAUGGAGGACUUGAAAGAGAGGGACAAGAAAGAAUGAUUCAGAGUAGGUGCUUGGCAAAAGGGACCCUUAUGACGAUAUUCUUCAGUACAGCUAUGAUGCCACUUCCACCUCCAAUUGAAUGCCAGAAAAUUCAGAGUUUGUCAAAAGAGGAUGGUAAAUUAAGUUGUUUUUUUUUUUUUUUUAAAUCUGGAUUUGGUUGAACAUUUUUAUGUCGCAAAAAUGUCUGCUGGGUUGUAAUGCCUCAGUUGCAGACUAGUUUGUAAGAGUCUGAAUAAUUGUCCAUGUUACUCUGGUAUUGUGGAAUGACAUGUAUUUUUUGGCCAAAAGAAAAAAUCAAGCAACCGAUGUAAACUUGUUUAAUAUCAUCGUAAUAUAACUGAAAAAGAAGUAAUUAUAGUCAUACAAAAAAAAUUAAUAACUGUCAUGUCCUUAAUAGUAAUUUAAACCAUAGAUAUUAUUGUAAUAAUUUUUUUAAUAAAAUUAAAAGUGUUUAGUGUAAUUUUUAGAGUGUACAUAACCUCACCCUAUUUCUAAACCCACGUAGGUUGAUUCCAAAAACACCCUUGGCUUGCACACCAACCGCAUUUUCACAUUUUCUUCGUCUUGCGGAACUUGAAACCCAAAUCUGAUGGCUUCAACUUUCGACUAAUCAUGAUCUCCACUAGAACUUAUAAUUUUAAAAGCUAUUUCCAUAAUAUUUUCAUUAGAAUUUCUUAUAACAACAUCCAACAUUGGUUAUUGAUAUUUUAAGGUUUCAUCUUAAAUAAUAUUAACAAAAUAAUUAAAUUUUUAUCAAAUUUUAAGGAAAUACAUUGUGCUUUGAUAAACAAGGAAUGUCAACUAAAUAUCGUCAAAAUAAAUAAUAAAUUUUUAAGUCGACUUUUGGUUUCACAUAAUUGUAAUUAUGGAGAUUAGUUAUUCGAAUAAAAUUUAAUUUUCUUUUGUUUAUUAUUGUAAAUUUCAAUAGGGACAAAUGCAUGAUUAUAAAAGAAGGGUUUGAGGUUUUUUAGGGGUACCAAUAGGACCACUCAUGAGCCAUAACAAAAAAUUAAGCCCAUGCGAGGCCCACCUAAUCCAUUUUUACAUUUAACCUGAAGAAUCAGACGACAAUAAACAAUAGACCUAAAUAAAAAGAUGAUAUAAAAGUAAGAAUAAUAUUAAGAUCCUAAUUUUUUAGUCUUAACUUCUUAAGUCUUAAAGUCACACGUUAUUCAUUUAUUAGACGAUAGAUUUCAUAACUUGUAAAAUUAUUUAACCACCAUCUAAUAAAUGAUUGUCAUAUCUUUUGAAACUUAAAUUUUGGAAUGCUUAGCAUUGAGCUGAAUCUAAAUUAUUUCAUUUUCCAUUAUUGUUAUUUUAUUUUAAUUUUUUUUUUCACAAUCGGAUUUUGCUUUGAGACAAUAGAAAGCCUUUUCGCUUUAAGCAUGUAUAGUAAUUUGAAAAAAAAAAACAUAUCCAUAAAUUAUCCAUGAGUUUCUGAGAACCAAUUAACUUCAAAAUCUCUUCCAGCGCUAGGAGGAACAUCGUCAAUAACUUUUUCAUGGCCUUUUGGGUAAUAAAUCCCAGUUCUUUCAUGAGGAACCCAACCACAAUUCCCUUCAUUUUCUCCCACAUUAUUAUUCAUCUGCUGGCUCCUCAUCACAUUUCCUUCUUCUGCAUUGGAUUUCAAUGUUGUUUCUCUCAUCAUAUCAUGAGAACUUGUUUUCUUUUGAAAGGAUUUCCUCAUCAUUGGCCUAUAUGUUUCAAAAAGACUCAACAAAUUAAUAAUGCAAAAACAAAGAGUAAAAUAUUCAAACACUCAAAUGAAUGAAAGUAAUCUCUUUUUAUUAUUGCGUGGACAGUGGCGAAAUCAGGAUUUUGGAUCGACAGAUGUCAUCAAUAAUAGAGAAACAACAAAUUUUAAGUAGGUUAUACCACAAGAAUAUAAACAUAUGGGGGCUACAAAAUAAAAUUAUCAGACACAGAGACAAAUUUAAUUGAAGACUUUCAUAUUUCUUGAUAAUUUUUUUUAACCUGAGGCCCCUGUGGAGACAUAUUGGUUCAGUUAAUAAAACAUUUAAUUCUAUGUACUUAACCAACCACUCAUAAUUAGUAAAUAAAUAAUUUGAAACUAUUAGGCCUAUUUCGAACGAACUGUUUCAUAACAAAAUUAAUUUAGAUAAAGUGAAAAGAUUUAUUUACAAACAUACCAUGCAAUAAUGAAGUGCGAUUGUCAAAAUGAAAUGAUGAAAUAGCAAAGUAGAUAGAUAAUGAAAGCAUUACUUGAAAAACAUGGAGUUAAAGGUGGGAGCUCCUCUAGCAAAUGAUACUGUCAUCUUUUUGUUCUUUUUUCUCUCACUUUCUCUCUUUCCAAACAAUGUGGGUGGAAUGAAUUGAAUUAUGAUUUUGAUAGAGAGCUCUUUAUAUAGUGAAGUUAAAUAAGAGAAUAUUGUUAUCCAUUUCUCUCAUCUCUAGGGAGAUCAUUUAUUGUUCCCGUGCACGUCAUUUUCUGUUUGGAUAAAUAUUAAAUUAUAAUACUCUUUCUUGAUCAUUGGGGAGCACUCAUUGCAGAGCAUGGCCUUCUUUUGUUCCCUUUUGUUUUGUUUUUGUUUUUUAGUCAUCUAAGUUAUGGGACAUGGCUUGCGGACUCAGCUUUUAAAAACUUUCCCUAGAUAAGUAGUUGAAUCUAGGGGAGGUACUUUUUAGUCAUAACGAGAUUACACGAUAUAAAAUGAGAUAUAGAGGCGGAUUCACCUCAUGAUUAGUGGGACACAGAGAAUAAUAAAAAAAAAUAUUUGAGUUAUUAAUUAAUUCUGUUGAAUAUAUUAAAAUAGGCAAGUUAAAUUUAUAAAAAUAGUCUCAUAAAUUUAAAAUUUAUAAAAUUUUAAUUUUGAGAAUUGCAAAAAACCACACUUUAAUUAAAAUAUAAAAGGUUAUGAGGUAACCCAUAUAGGUGGUUUACUAUUAUUUAAUUUAGUUUUUAUUAAAUCUAUAAAAAUGAUUUAUAUAAACUCAUCAAGCUAUAAAAUUUGAGUUUUCGCAUUGUGUUGUUAUAUAAUUUAGCCAUCGAUAAAUCAUUUUUAUGAAUCCACCACUGAUAACAUAAAUAUAAAAAAAUUAAGUGCUCGAUUUACCUCACGCAAAUAUGACAUAAUAUUUUCGUUAACUGUCAUAAGAAACUUAAAAAUGGUAGUCAAUUAAAUAAACUAUGACCAUUGACAAAAAAUUAAUGAAAUUGUAACAGAUAUACAAAAAGAUUUUAAAAUCAUUUUGCCCUUAAGUUGAUAUAAGAUGAGUCGUUAAUAAUUGCAUGUGCAAACAUCGUAUAUUCUUUAUAAUUAAUUGUGCAGAUUUUGAUGACCAUUUGGGUGUAUUGGGGUUAUGAAUUUUGUGAGUUUUUUCCACUUUUGUAAAUUCUUAUUUGUUAGUAAAAUUACAUUCCAGUUUUUGCCCAUGCACAUAGGCAAUACGCCGAACCACGUAAAUUAUUGUGUCCUAUUUUCUUUCCAUUUGUUUAUCACCACAUUUAUAUUUCUCCAGAAGUUGUAGUAUUAGUAAUUGCUCAACCCGUGUUUCCGUAACACCCAUAAUAUUUUCAUUAGAAUUUCUUAUAACAACUUCCAACAUUGGUUAUUGAUAUUUUAAGGUUUCAUCUUAAAUAAUAAUAACAAAAUAAUUAAAAUUUUUAUCAAAAUUUAACGAAAUAUAUUGUGCUUUGAUAAACAAGGAAUGUCAACUAAAUAUAGUCAAAAUAAAUAAUAAAUUGUUAAGUCGAGUUUUGGUUUCACAUGAUUGUAAUUAUGGAGACUAGUUAUUUGAAUAAAAUUUAAUUUCUUCUGUUUAUCAUUGUAAACUUGAAUAGGGACAAAUGCAUGACUAUAAAAGAAGGGUUUGAUAAGGAUUUUUUGGGGGUACCGAUAGGACCACUCAUGAGCCAUAACAAAACUAAGCCCAUGCGACGCCCACCUAAUCCAUUUGUACAUUUAGCUUGAAGAAUAAGACGAUAAUAAACAAUAGGCCUAAAUAAUAAGAUGAUAUAAAAGUAAGAAUAAUGUUAAGAUACCAAUUUUUUAGUCUUAACUUCUUAAGUCUUAAUGUCACACGUCAUUCAUUUAUUAGACGAUAGAUUUCAUAACUUGUAAAAUUAUUUAACUACCAUCUAAUAAAUGAUUGUUAUAUUUGUUGAAACUUAAAUUUUGAAAUGUUUAACAUUGAGCUGAAUCUAAACGAUUUCAUUUUCCAUUAUUGUUAUUUAUUUUAAUUUUUUUUUCCCAAUCGGAUUUUGCUUUGAGAAAAUAGAAAGCCUUUUGGCUUUAAGCAUGUAUAGUAAAUUGAAAAAAAAAUUAUCCAUAAAUUAUCCAUGAGUUUCUGAAAACCAAUUAACUUCAAAAUCUCUUCCAGCACUAGGAGGAACAUCUUCAAUAACUUUUUCGUGGCCUUUUGGGUAAUAAAUCCCAGUUCUUUCAUGAGGAACCCAACAACAAUUUCCUUCAUUUUCUCCCACAUUAUUAUUCAUUUGCUGGCUCCUCAUCACAUUUCCUUCUUCCGCAUUGGAUUUCAAUGCUGUUUCUCUCAUCAUAUCAUUAGAACUUGCUUUCUUUUGAAAGGAUUUCCUCAUUAUUGGCCUAUAUGUUUCAAAAGACUUAACAAAUUAAUAAUGCAAAAACAAAGAGUAAAAUAUUCAAACACUCAAAUGAAUGAAAGUAAUCUCUUUUUAUUAUUGCGUGGACAGUGGCGAAAUCAGGAUUUUGCUUCGACAAAUGUCAUCAAUAAAAGAGAAACAACAAAUUUAAGUAGGCUAUAACACAAAAUAAUAAUAAUAAUAAUAAGAGGGCUACAAAAUAAAACUGUCAAGUCACAAGAGAAUAUUGUUAUCCAUUUCUCUCAUCUCUAGGGAGAUCAUUUGUUGUUCCUGUGUACGUCAUUUUCUGUUUGGAUAAAUAUUAAAUUAUAAUACUCUUUCUUGAUCAUUGGGGAGCACUCAUUGCAGAGCAUGGCCUUCUUUUGUUCCCUUUUGUUUUGUUUUUGUUUUUUAGUCAUCUAAGUUAUGGGACAUGGCUUGCGGACUCAGCUUUUAAAAACUUUCCCUAGAUAAGUAGUUGAAUCUAGGGGAGGUACUUUUUAGUCAUAACGAGAUUACACGAUAUAAAAUGAGAUAUAGAGGCGGAUUCACCUCAUGAUUAGUGGGACACAGAGAAUAAUAAAAAAAAAUAUUUGAGUUAUUAAUUAAUUCUGUUGAAUAUAUUAAAAUAGGCAAGUUAAAUUUAUAAAAAUAGUCUCAUAAAUUUAAAAUUUAUAAAAUUUUAAUUUUGAGAAUUGCAAAAACCACACUUUAAUUAAAAUAUAAAAGGUUAUGAGGUAACCCAUAUAGGUGGUUUACUAUUAUUUAAUUUAGUUUUUAUUAAACCUAUAAAAUUUGAGUUUUCGCAUCAUGUCGUCAUAUAAUAUAGUCAUCGAUAAAUCAUUUUCUUGAAUCCACCAUUGAUGACAUAAAUAUAAAAAAAUUAAGUACUCGAUUUACCUCACCCGUUAACUGUCAUAAGAAACUUAAAAAUGGUAGCCAAUUAAAUAAACUAUGACCAUUGACAAAAAAAAAUUAAUGACAUUGUAACAUAUAUACAAAGAGAUUUUAAAAUAAUUUUGCCCUUAAGUUGAUAUAAGAUGAGUCGUUAAUAAUUGCACGCGCAAACAUGGUAUAUUCUUUAUAAUUAAUCGUGCAGAUUUUGAUGAACAAUGCACCAAAGCCACAUGGUAAAAAUCUCCCUUAUGUUUUUGUUUUGAGAAAGUUGCUGAAUCAAUGUCAUGACGCUAAUUUUCAAAGCAUGAAAACAGAAUGAAAUUAAAGAAACCAUAGUGAUGUAUCUUGUUUGCAUACUGGAAUGAAAUGUUGAUUUAGGCAAAUUUAGGAUGUAAAGUGUAAACUAAGGUUCACAUAAAAAUAAUAAUAAUAAUAAUAAUAAUAAUAAUAAUAAUAAUAAUAAUAAUAAUAAUAAUAUUAUUAUUAUUAUUAUUAUUAUUAUUAUUAUUAUUAUUAUUUUAAUCCAUUAAGAGAAAAAGGUUGUAUGCUCAUCAACCCAUUGCAAACUUUUGGCUUAAGAUUAAUAUGAGUAAUACAACACAGCUAUAUCAUAUCCCUAAACUUGAAAAUUAUUUAAAAAGGACCAUGAAUUGAUGAGGAUGAUAAAAUUAGCAAGGUUUCUAUUUUAUAAGUGUUUGCCAUAUGAUAUAUCAUUAAAAUGUUGUCCGUUUAUAUAUAUCUCAUGUUUUAUUUAUUUUAUGUAAGGAGAUUAGGGAGACCACAUAUUGUAAUUCCCCUUGUGAAUGUUUACUGGGGAGAGAAAUGAAAAAAAUUCAUCAAGUGUGUAAUCCUGAAUUUGGUUGGUGGAGUCUUCAACAACAGCUCAAAAACUUGCCUCCUCGGUUGUUGGUCACCUCAAGAAAUAUCGCAAACUGUUAGCAAGAACCUGCAAAUUUGAUCAAGCAAAGUCUAAUCAGUACAUCAACGAUCGUGCAAGUCUUCAGGCGCACCGUGUGAUCAUUAGCACGUUAAUGUUCUUACCGCCCACUUCAAAGUUUAAAUUCAAAUCUUUUAUAUAAGAACAGUUUUGCAACUAGAAUACCGAUUUUGAGUAGAAAUGGUAAGUCUCUUUAUUCUUCAGAGCAAACAAUCUAUAAAGCAAUUUCCGAUGUCCUAUAUGUAGGCCUGUUGUUUUUACCUGUUGGAGAGGCUUGAUAAUGGCUUUACCCUUGUAGCUGACAUGAAACUUUGCCUUAGCCAACAGCCCCUGGGUGCGAAAACAAAAAUUAGAACAAAAUAUAUUAAUAAGGGAAGGCCACUCUUUUGUCAAUAUAUAUAUAUAUAUAGAGUUUGUUAUAAAAGAUUACCUCAGUAUCAAACUCUCCCGAUUCAACAUUGACAUUGAUGACAGUGAAAAUCUUUACAAGAUCCACCAAUAAUCCUGGUCGAUCAGCCGUCUCCACCAAAAGCAAACUUCAAUAAAACAAAAGGUAAAAUAAACAAAAAUAGUAGGAAAAUACUUGGUAUCUAGAAGGGCGAGAGAAACACGAGAGAAACGGCAGCACAUGCUGCCGUUUCACUCCCAAAAUCUCUCGCCUUUUUUUAAUUAAAAAAAUUAAAAAAUUAAUAAAAAAUAAUAAAGAAAACAUAAUCUUAUCUGCUCCUUACUCCAUUUUUGCAACUCUCUCACCAUCUCUGUCGAGUAGCUCUCUCUCUCAUUGGCUCUCACUAUUUCACGAUCUCUCUCUCACUCACACACUCCUUUUCACGAUCUGAAAUUUUCUGGCCUUCUGCAACUCUUACAAGAAAUUAACGCUUUGGUUCUCACAAGGAUAGAUUGGGCAGGAAAUUGCCACUUGGGCUGGAGUAUGAGUAGUAAUAGUGUGGGACCAAAGUUUGGUGGAUAGCAAAAGCUCCAUCAUCUAGAUAAGAGAAUGAAUUAUGCAUUACCUUCGCUUGGGGCCAUCAAUAUCAUCAUAGAUGCUUAUGUGGGUUGCUAUGUCCACAUCAACCUGACAAAUUCCAGCACAACAAGAUUUGAGACAAGAUUGAAGUGGGACGUUAUCCUUCCCAUAAUAACUCAUAUACGUAGUUUUUAACAUUCAUGACAACAUGAUAUUAAUUUCAAUGGCAGGCAAAUUGAAUAUAAUGUCUUUAAAGAAAAUGAGGAUAAAAGUGAAGUAAUAUUUGGCCCAAGAGAACUCUAAAAACAACUUAGUUUCCUAUUCAAAUGAUCCACUAGUGAGAAGAGCCCACUACAAGAAAAACUGACCUAUUAUGAUAGGUAAAAACUGUCAUCGUAGGGGGUAAAUGAUGGUUAUUCUUACCGUCAUUAUAGCCAGCGUCAAGAAAAGAUGACAGAUAAAAUCGCGUCACGAGUUGUGAUAGAUUUUACCUAUCAUAAUUAUGUCAUACUACUUAGAAGAGGGAAAUUAUUAUUUUUUUUAUAUUUUCAUUUUUUUAGAAAUUUCUUGGAUUGUAUUUUUUUUUUUUGGGAUAUCAAUUGUGUGUAUGACUAGCAUUUUCUAUCACAAUUUUUUUGAAAAAUUUGAUUAUUUAUUUUAUUUAUUAAUUUAAAAUAAAAAUUAUGCAAUUUUAAAAUUUAAAUUAUUAAAAUUAUAUGAAAUAAAAUAAAUUACUAAAUGCAAAUAAAUCCAAAACCAAUGAACUAAAUUAGUGAACUUUAUUAACCAUAAAAAUAUCCAAAGUACAUUACAUUAGUUAAUCAAUAUUCCAAAGUCAAGCCAAUAGGCAACAAAGGCCAAUCCAAAACCAAGCAAAGUACUCCGCAUUCUGCAACAUCCAGCAACAAACCUACACAAAAUGUAGUCUUCCAGCGGCAAAAUCCAGCAGCCCUAAAGCCAAGACAUGAAAAUUCAUCCAGCAUCAAAUCUAUGCAAAAUGUAGUACUCUGGCUAUUCAAUCCACUAACUAAUUAAUUAAUUAAUCAAGCAAACUAACUUAUGUAAUUACACUGAAAUGGAAGUGGCACACCAGAUUAGCAGCAAUGACAGGUGAGGUGGUAGUUAAAGCCCAAACAGCAAGAAAGCCACAAGCCACACCUUUAAGUUCUUUUGAUCUUUUGUAGCUGCUACUACUACUACUACUACUACUACUACUACUACUUCUAAUAAUAAUAAAAACCAUCCUAUUAAUUUAUACAAGUCCCAAUAUAAGUAUAUAACUAAACAUAGGGUUCAAGAGUUCCAUGUCUUAAAAGUUACAAUCACAGAGACAUUUCCAAAAUGGAAAAACGAAGAUAAAGCUUAUAAAAAAUAAAUAUACCUAUUUAGUAAUUUAACAGCCUCAUAAACCAAUCAUGGACACAUUUCCAUCGACCCGCAAGUAAUCAAUCAUAGCCUUCAGAUUAUCUUUCUGAAAAACAAGCCAUCAACUUCAGACGGACCUUAAUUACAAGAAUAAAGUCCAACAAGACAGGUAAUUGAUCUCAUAAGUGAUUUUUUCCCCUUUAAAAGUUAAAAUUUUUUAAAAAAAUUACUAGCUGUGUAAUUUCUUCCCGCUAGUUAAUCAGCCACCAACUUCAUUCAAUCAUAGAGUAAAAUGCUCUCCUACAGAGAGCCCAGAUCCUGAAAAAUCUCCUAUAACUUUCAUUAUUCAUUUAUUAUUCAAUUGGAAAAUAAUUUCAAUGAGCCAAAUUCAUAUAAAAUAUAGAUUUAGAUUCUCGCGAUCCUUAAAUCUCCUAUAAGUUAACACAACACAGUCCUUCAAAAAGCAAAGCAACAUUAUGUCAACAUAAAUUAAACAAUAUAUGAGUGAUGAACUGUACACCUAGACUAAGCACGAGCAAGAUUAAAUACAACACUUCAUCAAGCUUUGCCAUGAAUUGUAUCAGAUUUGCUUUGCGAAUGAAUAUAAUAAGCUUCAUAUUCCUUCGCUCCUCAUAGGUAGAAAUGACCUGCAACAAUUAAAGUGCCAAGAUUCAUUCAUGGUUUUUAUCAAACACUUGGAGGGAAUACAAAAAUAGUAACUAUAUCCCCAAUUCGAAGGUAGUGAGCAUACGGCUACAUGCAAGUAUAUAUCAAUAUGUAUAUAUCUUUUAGGAAUUCUAUGCCUUGAGGUUGUUAAUUGUGGUGCUAGCAAGCUAUGUUAUUAAUUGGUAUAAAUUUUUGAAUGGUACAAAAGGCGUGAGAUUCAAACCAUGCUCAUAUGAGUGCGGAGAGUGGAAAUUGAGUAGAAACCACAAUACUAUUGAUAUUCUUAGAGGAUCUUUCCAUGUGACAUUCAUUCAAAAUUGUAACUAAGAGCAAAAUGCUUAACGAUUUUUAAUGCAUUGUACACAUAUCUAUCAGACAAUAUCUUGUAAGAUCGAAAAAUUGAUAACAUUCCCUCAAGACAAAUGAAAAAUGGAAUUGAACUAGUCAAUAUCUGCAUUACCCAAAAGAGAAACAAGGGAUGGGGAACUCUGAUGAAAUAAUAAAUUCUCUGCUCGGUACAAAAACAGCCACUGGAAACACACAUUGGUUGGAUCAUAUUGACAUUAUUUCCAACACACACAAUAGAAACAAUACCAAUUGCCCACCAAGUGCAUGACUCAAUGUGCGCCCAGCCUGACACCACUUCCUGCACAUGCGACUCGGCCCACAAUCACCACUAAUUUCAACGAAUUAGUGAAUUUAACCAAUGAAAUUUAAAAAAAAAAAAGACUUUGCAUCACAGUGAACUAAUUUGAGAAUUAUCUUUAUAUAUAGUUCCAUGCAUGCCACAAAAAGUGAAAAAAAAAUUAGUUAUUAGAAAACCCCAAUGAUAAAGCAGCCUAGACAAUAUCCCAACACCCAUCACCAGUAAAUUGGCAAGGAUCUUUACAGCCUAAAUCAAAUUUAACAAUAAAACUAUAAUAAUUAGAUUCCAAAAAAAUCAAAUAAAUGUUUAAAAUUCCAUAAAUAAAGAAACAUAGAAGACCAAUCAAAUAGAUCCAAAUUUAACAAGAGCACACCUAGGAUUUUCAAGUUUUACAUGUACAGGGUUCAAAUUUGACAAGAAAACAUCUAGGCUUUUCAAGAUUUAGGUGUGUAGGGUUUGAAUUUGACAAGAACACAUUUAGGGUUUUUACGUUUUACAUAUAUAGGGUUCGAGUUUGACAAGAACAUUAAAAUUGAAAUGAAACACAACACUAGAAAUAUUAUUUACCUGUAUUGAUCGAACGGUUACAACAGUGGGUGAGCGAGGGUUCUCGGUUAGGGUAUUGAAAUUCAAUAGUAGGAGCACAUGCGUUUGGUGGGUAUUCCAUAUAGUUCUCAGUGAGAGCCAAAAUCGAUAGUGAAAUACAAGAGAAUGGCGGCAGUGGUUCAGUGCCCAUGCAAGGAUUUCAGACGAAAAGGGCUUUGUGAGUGCGAGAUUGACGAGAGUGACUGAGCGAGAGACGAGAGUGAGAGUGCCAACACUUGGGGAAAAAAAAUUCGAUGAGUGAAAACUGAAGAGGGUUUUGUUUUUAUUUAGUUUCAAUCUAAACGGUGACGUUUCUUGUCUAAAGAGAAAUUUUUAAUCCAAACGAUCCCGUUUAUUCUUUAUUUAUUUUUUUCAUUCAUUUUAAAAUUUUCAGUCAACCUUGUGAAAUAAAGUCAAAAUAAAAAGCUACUUGAUGAUCAAAAUUAUAUCACAAACUUGUCAUUACUUCUUGAUAAUCAAAUAAUUUAUCAUUAGUCUAUCAUAAGUGUUUGAUAGAUGAAAUUUCUAUCACAAGUAUGUCAUAAAUGAAUGCUAGAAAAAAAUUUAUCAUCCAUCCGUUGUAGUAGCUCUGCAGACCAAAAACUGUCACACAGAGGACUGUCAUGGUAGGUCAUUUUUCUUGUAGUGGCAAAAAAUAUCAAUAAUCUGAAAAAUUAAAAUAAGACCAAAAAGCAAAAACCUGUUGUUUUGGAGGAUCAACGCCAAAGGUAACACCCAUUGCCAACUGGGAACUUGAUUCCUGAUUCCAUCACCAACACAAAUGGAAUAAGGUUUUCAUAAGACAAUUCCUAUAGGUGCUCCACCAAGUGAUAUCUCAAGAGAGACAAAAAAAUGAUUACCGGGUGAUACUGAAGUAGAUUGUUUAUAACUAUCAAACGAAUUGCCUCAAGCACCUCAGGAUCAUCAACUUUCCUACCAGUAUCACUGCACACAAGCAUCAUGACCAAAUUAAUCAAAACCACAGUGGGAAUCUAUUGCAAGAACUGCUCCAAAAAACAACGAUGGCUCUUUGGAUCAUUGAUUUUAGGUUCUAGUAUGUCUAAAAUUUUAACGAUUUCAACAUUAGUGAUAAACAUGUAUUUGCAAUAGACUGAUCAUACUUGUAUAUGGAGCAUCAAAAGUAGGUAUUUACUAUGCUCAUCAAAUAUAGACUAGAAGACGUUGACAAAAAUUAAAGGAAAUUAGUGAAUGAAACUGCAAGCAGAGAAUAUAAAUCAGCUUAGUAAUGCAAGGGCAUGAAAAGCAAAAUGCAUAUGCAUCACAAAAUUAUAGAGAUAUAUAAUUUCACAGUCAUAUGAUGAUAUUGCAGCGGUGAAGCCACGCGUGAGGUUAAGGCAAGCGAUGGAAUGACUUGUGUUACAAAAGAGGUAUGUGAAGUUGCACUAUAAAAAUAAAAUAAAUUUGUAUUUUCAAGUAGUAAAGGUGUAGUUAGUUUAUUUACCAUGAUUGCGUCCUGGAUAGAAAUUGAAUCCAUGUUUAAGAAUUUAUCAACGGAGAGAAAAUGUCAAUACAAAGUCAAUGCGAAUGAAUAGUGAAGUCAGCAGUCGCAAAGGCAAAGUUCUAAACCAAAUGUACUCCAGAUAGAUUAGCGGUAGCAGUUUCACAACUGACAAAUGAACAAAGAGUGGUUGCUUGUCAAAUGGGCUUUGGUAGUUUGUUACAACUGAACCGUGGCAAGCUGAAAAAGAAACUUUGUGGCUAGUUAAUUGAGAUCAUAGAUACUGUGAGGUACUGAUAAAUUUAUGAAAUGAGAGUUAUUACAUCAAUUCUAGACUUAAAUCAAGAUUACUUAGAGAGCAAAUAAGGUGUUUUUAUUACAUUUUGGUCAUAGUUUGCAUAAACAUUCAUUUUAGUUGAGUCUUAAUAAGUUUUGCUUGAAUCAAAGUAAUUUGUACUCAAAACAUGUGCAUAAUUGUAGGUUUUCAAAAAUUCUUAAUUCAUGAAGGGAUGCUGUUAGAGUACAAUUUAUGCACUAGUUUUGCAUUGUUUACUUCUCUUAAUAUCGAUGUUUUGCACUUAAUAAUAGUGAUUUACUUGUGUUUUACUUUUGUAGCUGCAAUUCUAUUGAUUGGUGAUAAAAUUGAGCUAUAAGAUGAUGUUUAAGGAUGAUUGUUCUCUUGGAGAAAUUAUGAGCGUCAGAAGAACUUUGUUGAUAAGGCGUGGGCGCGUGCUGUCAACUGCGGACCUGCAGUUUUUAGUUUAACGUAUUUUGUAUUUUUGGUUAUUUUUGUAAUUACAAAUUUAAUAUUUCAGAUAUUAGUAUUUUAUUUUAAAUAGAAUUCUAAAAGAGAAGAGAGAGAGAGUAUUUAAGGGAGGAAUCUAUUGUGAAGGAUUUGGAUUGGAGAAAAAGAAAGAAACCCUAGAUCUAAUUUUUCUCUUCUCUCUAUGAAGAACUAAACUUAUUUUCUGGUUGAAGGAUAAUGAAGCUUUGAUUCAUCACUACUGUGAGAUCUUUUUUUUAUGCUUUAAUUGUUUUAUUACUUUUUGGGUAUUUGUUUAUUUUCUGAAUUAUUUUCAUGAUUAUGUUUGUUAAUUAGGUAAUUGGCCACUAUUUAAUUAUCAACUUAAUCUAUUGUCAAUUAAAGGAUUCAUUGUAUGAAGAAUUUAAUGUUUGUGACAAAUAACAUAGCAGAGAGUUGUGUUGUGAGAAUAAACAAUCUAAUUUAAAUGAAUCAUCAUAUGUGUUGAUUAGGAUUUGGGUCUCUCUGGUUUUUCAGGCUGUCAAUUGAUUAAAUCAUAUGAUCGUAUCGAGGGUUGUCUAUUGAUUAGGGAAAUAUCCAACGGUCGUACCUUGGUUAUCGACUAGUUAAGGAGAGAUUGGCUAUUAGAGGGUCUCAAUAGCUAUAACCGGUCUAUUCAUAAGUAAUAAUAAUCUAUAUUUGAAUCAAUGAUUAGUAGUCGAAUCAAGCUGAGUUAAUUCCUUCAACCAGAGCUUUCUCCAAUUUGAAUUACAACUUUAAUUUGCAUUCUUGUUAUUUUAAUUUGAUUUUUAUUAUUGUCAACAAAACCCCCAUUUUAUGUUUUACGUUUCAAAAGGAUUUAAAUAAUUACCGAUCUCUGUGGACACGACCCUGCUCAAUCACUAUACACAAUUUAUUUAGAGUAGGAAUUUAUUUUUGUUGGCUUCGACACCCAUCAGAUGCUGAGGCAUUAGACUAGCAAGAGGAUGGAAGAAAAUGGCCGUAAAAGAAGUAAAGCACAAUCGGGAACAGUGCAAUGUUGUAGCUAUUGUUAGAGCAACCAUUGCUGUAGCAAUUUGGGACCACUGAGGGAGAAAACUUAAGCGCGGGUCAGCUGCAGAAUUGUGAUCUGCAUGUUUCCUAAUUUAAUUCAUGCACGCCACGAACUUUUAUUUACCCUAGUUUGCAGUAUAAAAGGGGGGCGCGCACCACAUAAAACUGCGGCAAGGGAAUUAUCAUUAAUACAUUAGAGAAAAGAGAAGAAGAAGAUCGGAAUUAAAGGGGACGGCUUCAGCAGAAUUGAGAAAUCCUGCAGAGUUAUUUGGAUUUGCUUUUUGACGUUCUCAACUUAUACUUUUCUUAUUUCUUUAACUGUUCUAAUGUAUCUCGUGAACAAUAUAUUAAUGUUUUUUUUUCUCAUUCAGUUGACCACCCAUUUAAUAGUUCAAGUUAAGAUAGAGCCGCAAAAGGGCAUGUCUUAGCGGAUAUUAUUAGAGUAUUACUUGAUCUUAAUUUAAGUUUCCUGGAUUAAGUUAUCUUGAAUCCCAUAAGGGCUAUACUUGAAGUUAAGAUUUGUGACACACUAGACAUAGGUGCUCACCUUAUAGGGUGGAGAGACUAAAGGGUCAUAAAGCCAUAUCAUAAGUAGAUUAGCAACUGGUCAUUGCUAGUAUACUUAAGGGUAUGAGAGUUCCAAUACGCAACAGCUGAGGACGCAGAUUCAGAAAUAGCUCUUGACUUGAAUUUUGGUUUUGGCUUUGCAUGAAUCCCAGUGUAAAUCCUGUAGAAAACUUACAAUCUUCAGUGAACCGCGUAAAACGAGACUUACUUGAGUGGGUUGAGACUCUUCUCGAAGACUUUCUUCGCUUCGUCGAUAUCUUUGGAAUCUUCCAAACAUCUGUUAUGACACUCAAGGAAGAGCAGUUUGCUGCCAAAGUUGCUAUAAGGAAAAAAGACGACGUAAAGAUAGCUUCGUAUUUGAAAUCAAGAAAAAGAUUGGCCAAAGAGAUGCUUAAGCUUGUCAGUGAAAUUCGGUGUAUCGGCCAAUACCAGGUACCGCCACCAAUGCUGGCGUCCGUUAUAGAUUCUGAGUUAGCCGGUGUCGUCACUGAUGCUGUUCGAGUGAAAUUUCUCCAUCAUCAUCUAAUUCUAGUACGCGAUCAAGUGGCAGUCUUUUCUUUCUCAACGCCAAAAGCUUAAAAAAAAAAUAUUACAACCCAUUACAGGCCAGCUAAGAUAAAUCCCUGUAUGAUUUUCGCGCCAAGGAUCGUACUGUCACUAGGGAUAAUAUUAUCUUUUCAAAGUUAACUACCAGUCAAGAGAAAAUUUAACUAACGGCAGGGGGUUUUUUUUACAAAUAAAACGAUUUUGGCCAUCUACUUACAAUAGCCUCAAACCUCAGGGGAGGUUUUUAAAAAUUACCCCCGUGGAAAAAUAAUAAUAGUUGAAAAGACAUAGGGUACUUUUUAUUUUCCUUUAUAUUACUAAUAGAUUUCCCACGCGCAACAGACGAAGUCAUUGCUGCUUUAAUAAUUGCCCUAUCACUGUGUUCAUCAUCACAAAUUUCUUUAUUACGUUUGUGAAAUAACCUUAGCAUAACAAAAUUACUCCUCCUUUUUAACUAAUAAUAGAUAUCUCAAAUUUUAUUUUCAGAAUAUGGUAUGUAAUGUAAGUGAUUGAUAGUUCUUUAUAAAAUAUAUAAAUAAAUUAAUUGUGUUAUCUUAGUGUCUAAUAUAUAUAAAUGACUUUCUCCAUAUAUUGCACUAUUGAUAUGGGCUAAAGUUUUAUACUAUGAGACCCAAUUUCUAUAAUUUACACUAUAAGUUACAAGUAUUUAGGAAAAUACUAUUACAAAUCAGAAGGUAUUAUCUAUUUUAUACCUAAAGCAUUUUCACUAUUUAAGACUAGUAAAACUUCUAUAUUAUUAUAAUAUUGGAAUCAAACACCAAUAAACAAGUAAAUCAUCUGGAAUGAGAAUGUUCUAACUUAACCAAGGUCCUCGGUUUGAAACUUAGAAAUGCAACUACAUUAAAUACUUAUUGGGAGAGACUUGCCGCUUUAGUGGUCCUAUCCGGCUCGAAUCUAGAUUAGUCGGGGAUCUAAUGUGGUCUUUGGAUACUAGAUGAUUUAAUAUACCGAUAAUAUUGGAACCAAACUAAUUUACAAUUAUGAAGAGGUUAUAAUUCAAUAGAGGCGUAGUAACAAACUAUUAAUAGAGCGUAUCAAAUUUAAUGUAUAAACAAAAUUCUAUAAUUUACACUAUAAGUUGCAAGUAUUUAGGUCAAUACUAUUGCAAAUCAGAAGAUAUUAUCUAUUUUAUGCCUAAAAUAUUUCCACUAUUUAAGGCUAGUAAAACUUCUAUAUAAUUAUAAUAUUGGAACCAAACACCAACAAGCACAUAAAUCAACUAGAAUGGAAAUGUUCUAACGUCAAGGUCCUCGGUUCCAAACUUAGAAAUGCAACUACAUUAAAUAUUUAUUGAGAGAGAUUUGCCGCUCUAGUAGUUCUAUCCAGGUCGAAUCUGGAUUAGUCGGGGACCUAAUGUGGUCUUUGGAUACUAGAUGAUUUAAUGUACCAAUAAUAUUGGAACCAAACUAAUUUACAAUUAUGAGGAGGUUAUAAUUUAAUAGAGGCGUAGUAACAAACUAUUAAUAGAGCGUAUCAAAUUUAAUAUUGGAAUCCGAUGAUUGGUUGCAACAUAAGAUAUUUGUAAGCUUAGUUAAAGGUUCAUUAAAAAUUAUAGAGAUAUAUAAUUUCGCAGUCGAUGAAGCCGUGCAUGAGGUUAAGGCAAGUGAUGGAAUGACUUGCGUUACAAAAAAGGUAUGUGAAGUUGCACUAUAAAAAUAAAAUAAAUUUGUAUUUUCAAGUAGUGAAGGUGUAGUUAGUUUAUUUGUUGUAGCAGUUUCACAGCUGACAGAUGAACAAAGAGUGGCUGCUUGUCAAAUGGGCUUUGGUAGUUUGCUACAACUGAACUGUGGCAAGCUAAAAAGGAAACUUUGUGGCUAGUUAAUUGAGAUGAUUGAUACUGUGAGGUACAUUUUAGAGUUGAAUGGUAUUAGCUUUCGAACAAGAUCAUCAAAGAAACUCUACCAACUGGGAAAUUUAAACUUAAUCUAUGCUCCGCAAAUUCGGAUAUUCUCUAAUAUGAAACUACUUUUAUGUGUUUUGUUAUUCCUAGCUUUUACCGACUUGGUAACGUUGUUAUGGAAGCAUGACAACUAUUAUGUCCGUGCAAUUUUUAUUGUAUCUUUUGUUAUGUCACGAUAUUGAAGCUUAGUUUUCUGACUCCAAUUACUAAGAACUGCAAUUGCAACAUCUUUUGAAUAUUACAUAUAUGCUUGUAGUAUCUCGACGGAUUAAAACCUGCUAUUUAAGUUCUUCUCCCCCACCCCCCGCCCUUCUUCUUUCAUUUAUACUUGCUGCACCAUUUACUUCACACUCUGUAAAGCCAAAUGAAAGCUUGUUCAUUUAUGUUCACUUGCAAUUCAAAAGCACAGUUUAUUUCAACUGUCAAAUUGACUAGUUGCACGUAUAGAUUUCAGUCGAAACAGGGUUAUUGGUCGAUCAAGAAAUUGAAUCCAUAUGGCCGUUCCAGCGUUAUUCAACCACCUAAUUUCAAAUAUAUAAAUUAAUUCAACCCACUUCUGUGUCAAAGGCGUGGAACAAAUUAUGAAAGAUUUUUCAGCUAUCAUAAAUUCGAACGGGUGUAGUUUGUAUCCUUUCGGACUUAGACAGAUUUUCCUUCCAUUAACCUUACAGUGUUAGUAAUCCUAUUACUUGUUUUUACAGCUUGAAUAGUAUACCGAAAUUUUUGGCUUUUGCAACAUAAACUUGUAUGUAAUGUACAUUUUAUUGUUCUUUACAAAUUAAUUGCUGCUAAAAUAAUUGUUUCAAUGGCAUGAUCUGCAUCCCCGGUUUGCCUCUUGGGCUACGAACCUGCUUAACAGCUGCACCAUCUUGCUCCUUUUCAUCGAACGGCAACUUCCCUACAGACAAAAAGACGGGGUACACGGUACACUGCCCAGGGUCACCAUAAACGCAGCCCAAAAAGAUGAUUUUGUCUUUCCAUGUCUUAGUAUUUUAACCAAUAAUAAUAAUAAUAAUUCUUUAUAUCAUCAAUUAUUGCACUUGUAAGCCAGGCAAUAGUAUUUUUAUUAAAUAAAAAAUUAAUGUCAAAAUUUAUUUAUUUAUUUAUUUUUUUUAUCUAGCUAUCAUUGACUUAAUAUUUUGAAUCUUCAUCCAAAGUUAAGGCACAAAACUUUUAUUCUAAAUAAAUAUUCUCAAUAUAAAUUUAUCACUUAAAUAAUAAAUAAUAAGAUUUAACAUUAAUUCUGUCGUUACUGAAAUGAAUUGUAAAUUUUAUAUGACAUGUAAACGUAUCAUUAUGUUCUUGAUAUUUGACAUAUGAAUUAUAAAGCAACAAAUGUAUCAUAUUUUUAUUUCGGUAUUGUGCUUCUCUAAAAGUAACCCUCACCAAAUUAGCUUAAUUCUUUUCGUUGUACUCAUUGCUUCUCUUCCUCUUUUCGUCAACGACAAUGGGUAACCUAAUCUCAACCUUCUUACCAGCAGACUUAUUUGAUCGUUUUUCAAACUGCGUUGGUGAACAAGCAAAAUAUGUAUGGGGUCUCGAAAAAAAUCUUCGGAUCUUGGAGACUGAAUUGCACAAAUUGACUCGAGCAAGGGCCGAUCUGAAGACCAGGGUUGAGGUCGAACAACAACGACCUCGAACCAGACGAACGAACCAGGUCGCAGGGUGGCUUGAAGAUGUGCAAAAUCUUGAAACUGAAUUUGCCGAGCUGGAACGAGUCAGAGCUCAAGAAAUGGAUAGAUUGUGCCUUGGAGGCCUCUGUUCCAAAAACUUCGUUUCAAGCUACAAUUACGGGACUAAGGUGGUCGAGUUGACGGAUCGAGUCAUCAAUUUAAAGAAAGACGGAGAAAAAAUUGAAGUCGUUGUUGAGAAGGCGCCGGAUGGUGCAGCAAUUGAAUUACCUCUUGAUCACACAGUUGUUGGUCAAGAACUAUUACUUGGUCAAGUUUGGAGAUGUAUCACUGAUCAGGAAAAGAACAGGGGAAUUAUCGGCUUGUAUGGUAUAGGGGGAGUCGGCAAAACUACCCUUUUAAAACAAGUCAACAACAACUUCUGCCAUCAACAGCAUAAUUUUGAUGUUGUUAUCUGGGCGGCUGUGUCAACACUUCAAGAUGACAUUGGAAAAAGGAUUGGCUUUUCAGAAGACAGAAACUGGCAGGAAAAAAGUCUUCAAGACAAGGCUAUGGACAUCGCUAGCAUUCUAAGCGGAAAGAAGUUUGUGUUGUUAUUAGAUGAUAUAUGGGAGCCCAUUGAUUUAACACAGUUGGGUGUCCCUCUUCAAAAUCUAAAUGAUGGGUCCAAAAUAGUCUUGACAACUCAUUCAGCUGGUUUUUGCGAUCAAAUGGACGCUAAAAAGUUGGAAGUGUCUAGUUUGGCACAUGAUGAAGCCUGGAAAUUAUUUCAGGAGAU
rnacentral:lncRNA from 1 species